rnacentral:lncRNA from 1 species
CUAAAACUUUAUCUUUUGGUUUCCUUUUGCUGGUGAGUUUGGGCUUAGCUUCGGCGGCCCGAUCUCUUCUUUCUUACGAUAUUCCUCCUCAUCGAUCUGGAUACGAUAAUUAUGAUCAUCCUGUAGUUAACCCUAAAGUAGGAUACGAACAUGACCGUCGUGAUGGAUACUACCAUGACCGUGACCAUCAUGAUGCACCUUAUGGUGGUGGUGCUGGUGGAGGAUAUGGAGCUGGAGCUGGAGCUGGCUCAUCUCUUGGAGGCUCUGGAUAUGGAAGUGGAGGAGGUGGUGGUUCUGGAUAUGGAGGUGUAGGAAACCACGAGGUUGGUUAUGGUAGUGGUGGAGGGGGUGGAUAUGGAGCUGGAGUUGGCUCUGACCUUGGUGGUAGCGGAUACGGAAGCGGUGGUGGUGGAGGCAGUGGAGGAGGAUACGGUGAUUUAGGAGGACGUGGAAAAGGGUACGGUAGCGGUGGAGGUGGAGGAAGUGGAUAUGGAGGUAGAGGAGACCAUGGAGUUGGUUAUGGAAGUGGUGGAGGUGGAGGAUAUGGAAGUGGAGUAGGUGGUGGUGCAGGAGUGGUAGACCAUGGUGUAGGUUAUGGGAGUGGAGGAGGAGGUGGGGCUGGUAGUGGUUAUGGUGGUUCCAAAGGAUAUGGAGGUGGAAGCGGCGGCGGUGGGGGAGCCGGUUAUGGUGGUGGAGCACAUGGAAGUGGAUAUGGAAGUGGUGGUGGAGCUGGAAGUGGUGAAGAAGGAGGAUAUGAUGGUGGAUAUGCACCGUAAACAAAGAAAAGAAAAGAAAAAGCUCAAAGUUUUAUGGCUAAAAUGAGAAUGCUUACCCUAAUAUCAUCAAUGUGUGUGUGUGUUAGCAAAAAAAAAAAAUAAAAGAAUUUGGGUAAGAAAUGUUAUAUUAAUUAUCUUUGAGCUUUUAAGUAAUUUGAAUGUAAUAUAAUAUAUAUAUAAAAAAAGCUAAUCCAUGUGUUCCAAAGUGAACCAACAUGAAGUAUAUUUUCUCCCUUUGUCAUCAUGAUCAUCUUAAACUUGUGGUUAUUAUGUGGGCUCUCAUUAUUAUUCCAAGAUAGCAACGUCGGGAUAUUCAAAUAUUUUUCAUAUGUAAUGUCUUAAGACUAAAUCACUAUGAUCUAUAUGCUUUAAUUAAGUUCAAAACUAUUUUGGAAGCAUUAUGAUUAAUAUAUUGAUUACUUAAAUACUAUUAUAUGGUUUUCAAGGUAACUUGAUGUUGUUAAUAAAAGAAAUCUUUAAUAUUUAAUCAGUCCUUUCUCUUAAAAUUUAGUAAAAAUAAAUACUAAAAUGGUAUGAUGUUUUAUGGUUGGAUUUGGGGUAUGUGUUUUGGCUUGUCCCUCUAGUUGUGACUUGUUCAAAAUAAGUGUACAAUCAAAUUCACUUGGGUUAUUAAAGACAAUUGAUAAACAAAAAUUGCCAAAACGAUAGAGCAUAACUAUUUAAUCGGUAUAAAACUUGUACAAUCCAUUAAUCAUAAUAUACUUUUUCUAAUUGAUCUCUAAUUGAUCGUACAUACUAGUUAGUGUCGAUAAAAAACUCAAUUUGACGUAUAAAUAUUUGUUUGUUGUAAAUGAACAUCUAAGUAUAUUCUUGAUUAAUUAUUCUUAUACUAAGAGUAACAUUGACCCCUCUAUUCUUUAGUAUUUGGUUAAAAGAAUAAAAAAUUAGUAAGUGAUGAAUCUUAGUGUGCUAUAGGUUGAUCAACCAAUUAAAAUUAGUCGUUUCAAGCAAUACUUUCGAAAAAAUUCAUUAAAUAGGAGUUAUUUAAACUAUCAACCCUGAGUUUUUAUACAUUACAAUAAAUUUAAUCUUUGAUGUCGGUCAAAAACUAAUAUAUAGGAGUACAAUAUAGAUCACCAGAUCGAUAUGGAAGACAAUGUUAUGGAAGAUGUUCAAUGUUAAUCACUUUUAUGUUCGUUUUGGUCUUGGCAUUAUAAAUAAUUUAAAUGGUAGUUUUUGCUCACACUACAAAUGUGUUAGACUAUUAGUCAUCAAAUAGUUUGAAUUCCUUGUAAAAAAAAUUAGUUGAAACAAAAAUAAAUAAUUAUCUUUGCAUUAAAAUAAAAUAAAAUAAAUAAAAUAGAUUUUUUUGUGAAUAUUUUGGUCAGGUGUUCUAUUUUUUAUAAUUUCCCAUAAAAAAUAUGUGUAAUAAGUUAUUUAAAAUACUAAUAGUAUUAAUUAGUUUACUUAAUAAAUCAAUUAUAUCUCUAAAUGAUAUUUUGGUAGAUUUAAAAAUAUUUUGAUUCAUUUUGCUAUAUUUGAAAAAGAAACCAUAAAAUUCUACUUCAUAUUCGCAAUAGAUCAUGGUAAACUUAGAUAGGCAUCUAUUAUUUAUAUAUAUGGUGAUAGAUACUUAUGUAUCUAUAUCCAAGCCCAUCAUCUAAAUAUUUUCAAAUGGUUUUCAAUUGAAAACAAAUUUCUCAAUAAGUAAUUAAAAAUUAGGUUUUUAUUCACUAAUAAUUAUUAUUUAAAUGUGAACAAAUAAAGUUUAGCUCGUAUAUAAUGGGUCAGUAGGUACACUCGGAUAUCUCCACUAGAUGGACACCCCUUAGCACCCUCAUUAUCUCCGUUUCAUUAAUAUAAAAAAUCGAAUUGAAUACACGAGAAGUAAAGAGAACAACCCAAACAAAAAACAAAGAACUAGAGACAAGCCCAAAACAAGUACAAACAAUUAGAAAGCAUGAAGAAAUUAGUGCUUUAAACCCCUAAACCGCAAUGUUACUUAACAAAUAAAAUUGUUAUUUAAAAGUUUGAAGUUAUUAUUGAGUUUUAUUUUAGCAAAUUAAUCAUCUCUUAAAUUAAAAAUCUCAAACAUACAUGGAAGAUAAGAUCAAUUAAGCACAUGUUGGAUGAAUUUUGUUCGAAUAAAAAUUAAAACAACUUAUUGUUAUCAACUUAUAAGUUAUAUAUAUGAUGAUGGUGGUGCAGAGGUGAAAACUUAGUUUGAGAUCUCUCCCUACAUCUACUAUGCUUUUACGUUCUAAUGUAUUUUGUGGUAAAAAAAUCAAUUAUAAACUUUUAAGAAAAAUUUUCAUAUGUUAUUAUUUUUUCUCUAAAUUCUAAACUAGCCAGGUUAUCAACAAAACAAAUACCACUAGAGUUUAAGGGAUUAGGAAGCAUAUAUGAAUAUCUCAACUUGGUUAACACGUCGUUUUUAAACAUUUCUCAUCAGGUUGCUGUUUCAAAAGUGAUGCACUGAUGUGAAGAAACAUAUAGGAGAAAAGUGAGAUGGAAAGUUAGUAUAUUGGACAGAGUACAUAGUACAUAGUAGGUUUAUUAAUUAAUUUAUCCAAAUGAUAAUCUCAUUACCAAGCACUAUGUGAUUUAGAUAUGAAUAAAAUGUGAUCAUUUUUCCACCACUAUUACAUAGCAAAUGGGAAAACAUCUCAUUGUGGUUUGAUAUUUUAAAAAACAAUUAUGGUAAUGCAAGUCGUCUCAUAUCCCAUAAUAUUAUCUCAGUCUCAUGGCGACUGAUACAAAAGGACAAAACUAACUUCAUUAAAAUAUGUUCUCUCCUUCCUACACUUUUUAGGUAUAUAUCAUUCAUAUAUUAAUCACUGCAAUUGGUUAGGUGGACUACAAAAACAUAGAUAUAGUCCGAGAUAAAAUUAAGUACGGUUAUAUUUUACGAGACUUUUGAUGUGUUUGAUUACAUUUUCAUGUGUUUCUUUUAGAAAAUAAGUUAUUUUGAAAAAACUAAAGUAUUUUAAACAAUUUUUAGAACAAUCAAUUUCUUGAAAAAUAUUUUUUUCUUAAUUCAAUCUAAGAUGGAUCCUCAAAAUAUUUGAGGGUAGUUCUUUUAUAAAAGUAUUUACACUAGGUUGGUUUAUGAAGUAAAAUAUUGAUCGGUAAAUUCAAGUUUUAAAUUAGAAAAAUUGAAUAUUUUUAAAAAUAGAAGAAUUGGCUAACUAUUUACAACUCAUACCAAAAUUUUAAUACAAAUCCAAAGUAUCUAUUUUUUAUUUUAUUAUUAUUAUUAUUUUUUGCUAUAGGAUGUAAAUACUAUCUGUUUUCUUGUAAAUUUCUCUUACAAUCCUCUACGAGAAAGUCUUAAUUUUUAUAUUUAUGAUUUAUAUUAUAAUAUAAUUAUUUGGAACCAUAUAAUAAAUAAAAGGAAAAUUGUAAAACAUAACAUUUGACAAAAUAUCUUCGUAGAAAAAUUUGUUGUGUAAUCAAUUUUGAGGUUUUGUUAUAUGGAGCGUAAAUAUUUUGUCAAAUUUUCUAUUUGUGAAAAAAAAAACUUAUAGGUAAUUUGAAAGGUAAGUGAUCUUGUUUAAGAUCCAAAUUUCUUUUAUGAAAGUUUAAUUUAGAAUACAUACGAGAAAAAUAGAUUAAUCUAGAAUGAUAAAUGUAAGAUAGGUUUGGGAAGUACCAAUAAAUUUUAGGCAUGUGAUAGACUAUAACUGUGAAGAUAUAUAGUCUAUUGCUAUCUUGAAUGGCUCAUUCUUGUUUGAAAAUGACCUUAUUUAAAACACAACUUUUUUAUAAAAGAAAAUCCCUUGCAUCAUUCAAACAAUCUUACAAGAUCGUAUUAGUGGAAGAUGAGAUAGAAUUCUGACAUGUGUAUUAUUAGUAUACUUGAAUAGUUUCUUAUCUAACUUUUGAGCAAGUAGUGGAGAAGCUGAUCAUGAACCCUAAACCCACCGUAUCAUUCACUAUAUAAAGGAGAUCACUACAUGCAUUCUAAGGCAUCCCUUCUCCAAAUGGCUAUCUUUAGAACUUUCUCUUUCGGUUUUCUUUUGUUGGUGAGUUUAGGCUUAGCUUCUGCGACCAGAAGUCUUCUCACCUAUGAUCCACCACAUCACUCUGUAUAUGAUGAUCAUAACACUAAAGUAGGUUACGGACGUGACCAUCAUGAUCAACCUUAUGGUGGUGGUGUUGGUGCUAGUGGAGGAUAUGGAGCCGGAGCUGGCUCUGGAUAUGGAGGUGUAGGAUACGAACAUGACCAUCAUGAUGGAUACGAACGUGAUCAUGAUCGAUCUUAUGGUGGUAGUGCUGGUGGAGGAUAUGGAGUUGGAGCUGGCUCCUCUCUUGGAGGCUCUGGAUAUGGAAACGUAGAUCAUGGGGUUGGUUAUAGCAAUGGUGGAAGUGGUGGAUAUGGAGCUGGUGUUGGCUCUGACCUUGGUGGUAGCGGAUAUGGAAGCGGUAAUGGCGGAGCAAGUGGAAGUGGAAAUGGUGAUUUAGGAGGACGUGGAAAAGGCUACGGUCGCGGUGGUGUUGGAGGAAAUGGAUAUGGAGGUAGAGGAGACCAUGGCCGAGUAGUAGGCCAUGAUGAUGUAGUUUAUGGUGGUUCCAAAGGAUAUGGAGGUGGAAGUGGCGUCGGUGGGGGAGCUGGUUAUAGCGGUGGAGCAAGUGGAAGUGGAUAUGGAAGUGGUGGUGGAGCUGGAAGUGGAAGUGGCUAUGGCGGAAGUGGUGAAGAAGGAGGAUAUGAUGGUGGAUAUGCACCUUAAAUAAAAGGGGCUAAAACAUCAUCUAAAAGCUUAUCGUUAAAACGAUAAUACUUACCUAAAUAUCAAUGUUUGUUAGCAAAAAUAAAGAAUUUAGGUAAGAAUGUUAUGUUCCUCUUUUGAAUUUUAGUAACUUCAAUGAAUGUGAUAUUAUAAAAACUAGCUGUUUCAUGGGGUUCUAAAGACCAACAAACAUGCAUGAAAUACUGAGUUAAUACAACGUACGCCAUUCCAAACGUGCUAUUUUAUGGAUUCCAAAGUUGACUUUGAACUAAGGACUAAAUAAUCCUUUAACACCUUCUAAACACAAAUUAUUUCACAGACGUCAAGAUCAGUUAAUCAAGUUAAAACUUAAUAGGUCAAAUUCAUCAUUCCAAAAUGACUUGUAGAAAAAUUUUGAGACUUAGUUCGAGUAUGUUAAAUUCUAAUGUUACGAAGUUUUCUUAACAAAAUUGAGAAGGAGGUUGGGAUGGUGGAUAUGCACUCAAAAAUUUCAUCUCAAAAGAGAAUUGAGAAACAUACUUUUCAAGUAACAAACCCAAUAUUCAUAUUAAUUGGGCAACAAAAGUAAGGAAAUAGGGGUAAAAAGAGAACAUUGUUUUCUAAAUAAUCUAUGUCGAGGUUUGCUUCUUGGCCAUGAAAUUCGAACCAAUUAUUCAAUGAUAAGCAAAUUUGGAUUAAGUAUGCAUGUGUAAUGUGACAAAAUUAUUCAACCACAUUCACGUUAUUUUGCUUUCCUAAUCAUAUUUAUGAAAUAAGAUGGUUUCAUCUUUCAAAAUCAAUACACAAUUACAAAAGUAGUAAUACUUCUAUCUUAUAAACAAUGUUGAUCUCUUGAAUUUUCCAUGUAUGGAAUUAUCAACAUUCUCCGCAUAUUGUUCUAGGUUAUUUUUUUAACCAGUGUAAUCAACCUCAAACAAAAACAAAAGUGACAAAACCAAGAAAAUAACAAAAUUUUCACUUAAAUAAAAGAGGGAAAAAAAAUAGCACAUCCUAUAAGCCAAAAUAAGGGCGAGGGGUUUAGGGUUUAGGGUUAUUAGACCAAGACUACCAAAAUGUCUAAUGACUUUUAUAACGAAACAUCUAGUUUAGAUUGAUACAUAUGAUAUGUAGCAUCUUCACAGCAUCCAAGAUCAAGAGUCGAUAUAUUAUCAUGAAAAGAAAGUACAAAAGGGAAGUUAGGGAAAAACUUGGAGUCAACGUUAAGAGAACCAUUAAAAGUUUUAGAAGUUCAAUUAAUAUUUGUAAAAUUUUAAGAGCUAAAUUUUUAUAAUCCAACGUUUGAGGUCUAGUAAUUGCAAUUGACCAUCAUACUUCAGGGAUAAUUUUUGAAAAUUUCCUUUUCUAUUAUUAAAUUAUCAAGAAAAAAAAGUUUAAUGACGGUCAAAAUAAUCCCUGGCGUCCAUAUAAUAAUUUUCAAUAACAUUUCACGACACUAAAAAAAAUUGGAACUUUGCUCACAUUUUUCUAAGAAACGUAAAUAUUUUGUCAACUUUACUAUAUAUAUAUUAUUGUUACUCUUUUAAAAACUUAAGUAAUUUUGAUUCGACCAAUUUUUUUUGCUAUCAACUACAAUUGUUAAAAAAUAUAUAUAUACGAAAAAAAAUGGUUAAUUUUCAUUCACAAAAUAUUUAAAAAAGUAAAAUUUUAAAUUUGUCUCGUAUCUUUUGGAAUAAGGUUUGUCUUUAAUUAAGGAAAUUUAAAAGUUGCUAAAACAUAGCUAAAUUAAACAAAAGUUACUUUUUUAAAGAAAAUUUUUUAAAUAACAAAAUUAUUAAAAAUAUAAUUAAAUUAGAAUUUUUGAAUCUAUUAUUGAUAUAAUUAAGAAAAGUCUAUCAACAUAUAUCAAUUCUAAUAUUUUAUUAUAUUUUAAUUCAUUUGGUUAUAUUUAACAACUCAUUCCCACACAAACUAUAAUUCAAAUUAAAAACAUAUUUGAACAAAUAUUUUGUAUAAUUUAAGUGAUGAAUCGCACUAAUAUUGUUAAAAUGUGUUUAAAAUGUGAUACUUUUCCCACCAUAUUUUAUAGCAAAUGGCAGAUAAUUUAAUGUUUCUUUGAAGCAAGAAUUAGGCAAAGAAGCAUAUAUAUAUAUAUAUAUAUAUAUAUAUAUAUAUAUAUAAUAUAUAUAUAAUAUGUAAUUAAAUUUUAUAUUAUAGUUAUGCAAAAUCGUUUCAUAAGCCACUUCAUCUCUCUCUAUUUCAUGGCAUCAAGUAAACAAAAAGGGAAAAAGGGAAAAAGAGACCUAAUAAAAUAUGUGUUCUUUAAUUGGUGGAUUUUUAAUUAGCAUUAUUAAUUAAUCAAUCAUGUAAAUAUCCUACAAAGAAUAUUUGUUCUUAAGAUAAUUCAUUGCAUGAUGAAUCAAAAUUUUAGGUUGGGUGUUCCUGUAUACUUAAAAACAUUAUUGCAUUACCAAAUUAAAUUUAUACAAACCAAACGAUAUCAUUUUGUUCGUAUUAAGUUCGUUUAAGUUUAGAUGGUAUAUGAAAGUUGGUUUGUUAUGUUUAGGUUUAUUAAACAACAUUGUAUUUAGACGAUAGUGUAAACUUUAAGUUGUUAAACAUGUGUUUUAUCUUAGUCUAAUGUCGUCUAAUACAAAUAUAUUAUGAUACUUUUUAAUAUUUAAAAAUAUUUUUAGAAGUUUUAUAAAUUAAAAUAAUUUUUCUAAAAAUUAAGUUUCAUCAUUUUUAAGAGGAGAAAAGACACCCUAAACAUAAAUUAAAGAAAAUAGAAUGAUAUUGUAUUAAUUACAUAAAUUUAAUCAAAAAUUAAGAACUAAAAAUAAAAUUGUUAUCAAAAUGAAAAUUCAUUUUAACAUUCAAACCAUCCAAAAAAAAGAACAUCUAAUUACUCUAUUGUAACAGAAGUUUUAUCCUCUUAAGAAAAAAAUAGUUUAAUGUUAAAAGAGUAUACAAAACGUGUUAAUAAGUACACAACUCAAUUAGCAUAAAGCUUAAAUUUUAUUUAGAUCAAGACUCAAAUCUAUGAGAUCACAGGAUAUUGCAAAUUUAGGAUUUUAGGUUAUCGUUUAAAGUUCUAAAAUAUUGCAAAAUGGUGCAAGUGGGAAGAUGGGAUCCAAAUCAAGUAUGGAUAUGAUUUAGUUCCAAUUAUAAUUUAAGGUUAUAGUUUAAUGAUUUAGUUACAACACUUUAGUGUUUUGCCUCUUGAACUUCCCUUAAGCUAUAAUCCAUAAUUAAUAAUGUUUUUGAGCACGUGCCUUCUCUUUAAUUGCCACUAAGGUACCACACUAUAGAGAAGAGCUAAUGAAUCCUUGUUUUCUAUAUAAGGAGAUGGAUCAAUGCAUUCUAAGCAUAUACUCCUAUCCAUGGCUAUUUCUAGAGUGUUGUGCAUUGGCUUUCUUCUUUUUGUGGGGUUAGGGUUAGCUUCGGCUGCCCGAACUCUUCUUGAUUAUGAUCCACGUGCACGUCGUUAUGAUUACGAUCGUCCUACUCCAAGAGUAGGAUACGAUCCAAGCCAUCGUGAUCAAUCCUAUGAUAAUGUAUAUGGUGGAAGCUCUAGCAGAGGAUAUGGAGCUGGAGACUCUGCUCUUGGAGGUUCGGGACGAUAUGAAGGUGGUGGAGGACGUGAUUACGGACAUGGAGGCCGAAAUGAUGAUCGUGGUGUUGGAUAUGGAGGUCGAAAUGAUGAUCGUGGUGCUGAAUAUGGAGGUAGAAAUGAUGAUCAUGGUGCUGGAUAUGGAAGUCGAAAUGAUGAUCGUGGUGUUGGAUAUGGAAGUCGAAAUGAUGAUCGUGGUGUUGGAUAUGGAAGUCGAAAUGAUGAUCGUAGUGUUGGAUAUGGAGGCCGAAAUGAUGAUCGUGGAGUUGGAUAUGGUAAUGGUGGUGGAUAUGGAGGUGUAGGAGGACAUGGUGAUGGUUAUGGUAACAAUGGUGGUGGAAGCUAUGGAGAUCGUUAUGGCCCUUCUCUUGGAGGUUCAGGAUAUGGAAGUGGAGGAAAAGGAAGUGGCAAUGGCUAUGACGAUCAUUCUCGUGGAAAUGGUGCGCGUGACAAUAGCUAUGGAGAUUCUCAUGGACAUGAAGGACGUGACAGUGGAUAUGGAAGUGGUGGAGGAGUUAGUGGAGGCUAUGGCAAUGGAGGAGUUCAUGGAGGGGAGCAUGAUAAUAGCAAAGGAAGUGGAGAAGAAGGGGGUAGGGACGGUGGAUAUGCUUUCAAAAAUUCCAUCUCAAAGGAGAAUUGAGAACUCUUUUUCAAGUAAUGAACCCAAUAUCAUAUUAUGUUAACAAAAAAAAUAAAGAAUUGGGUAUAAGAGAAUGUUGUUUUCUAAAUUUAUGUUGAAUUUGUUACCAACGAAUGUCAAAUUCGAAUCAAUGGGUACAAUGAUAAUCAAAUUUAGGUUAUGUUUAUUGUGAUAAAUUUAUUGCACUCUUAUUUGUUUUGUUUCUCUAUAUAUAUUUUUUCUAUAUAUCCAUAUUAAUAUGGGUGGUUUUGGACCGAAGAAAAAAACAUCAUCUAAAAGUUUUUCGUUAAAAUCAUAUAAUUCUUACCUAAUAUCAAUGUUUGUUAGCAAAAAGUAAAAGAAUUUAGGUAAGAAUGUUAUGUUUCUCUUUGAAUUUUAGUAACUUUUUCAAUGAAGUUGUGAUAUUAUAAAAUCUAGUCAUUUCAUGAAGUUCUAAAGGCAAACAAGCAUGCACCAAAUACUCUAGCUAAUACAACGUACGCCAUUCCAAACGUGCUAUUUUAUGGAUUUCAAAGUUAAACUUUGAAACAAUCUUUUAAUACGUUCUAAACACAAAUUAUUUAACAUAAAUCAUGGGCUAAUCAAGUCCAAACUUAAUAGAUCAAACUCAUCAUUCCAAAUGUCUCCUACAUAACUUGUAGAAAAUUUUAAGAUUUAGUUCGAAUAUAUUAAAUUCGAUGUUCCAAGUUGUUUUAACAAAAUUGAAAAACUUCACCAUUAUUUUGAGAUUUUUUUUUAUGAUUACAUCCUUUAAUUUAUUGAAUAAUUAUAAACAAUCUUGGUUUCAAGAGAAUUAUAUUUACGCAACGAUCAUUUGCAGAUGUUCAAAAUAUUUCUACCCUCAAUUAUACUUACAGAAAAACAUUUGUUGCACUUAUCUCUUCCAAACCAUAAUAGUUUUUAGGAAAAGAAAAAAGAGACAUGUUUAUGAAAGAAAAUUAGGCUACGAUGCUCAUUGUCGUGGAUAUGGAGCGCGUGACAACGGGUAUGGGAGGUGGAGGAGUUAGGGGUGGCUAUGGUGGUGGUAGCAAAUUGAAGAGAUGGUUAUGGUAAAUAGAGAGGUGUUCAUGGAGGAGAAUAUGAUAAUGGCAAAGGAAAUGGAGAAGAAGGAGGUUGUGAGGGUGGAUAUGCACUCAAAAUUAAUUCCAUCUGAUCAAAAGAGAAUUGAGAAACUUUUUUUUUUUUUUUGUAAGUAAUGAACCCAAUAUUCAUAUUAAUUGCACAACAAAAAAUAAAGAAAUUGGGUAAGAGAGAACGUUGUUUUCUAAAUCUUAUGGGUGGAAGGUUUGCAUGUUCGUGAAUGUAAAUAUCAAAUCAAUUUUUUAAUGAUAAGCAAAUUUGGAGUAAGUGUGCAUUUAUACUGUGACAAAUUGAAUCAACCACAUAUACGUUAUUUUGUUUUUCCAAUGAUAUUUAUUAUAUAAGAGGAUUUUAUCUCAAAAUCAAUCAACAAAUACGUGAAUAGUAAUACGUCAAUUUUAUAAACAAUAAUGAUGAUCUCUUGAAUUUUUCAUGUGAAAUUAUCAACAUUCUCCAUGUAUUGUUCUCGGUUAUUAUUUUUGUAACCAAAGUGUAAUCCUCCAAAAAAAUACAAAAUUGACAACCAAGAAAAUAACUAAAUUUUCAUUUAAAAAGAAAAAAGAGAAUAGCAUAUCAAAUAUCAAAUAGCCAUGCAAAAUAAGCUUAACUAGGGGAGAGGGAGUCUAUAAGUCAAAUUGCAUAGUCUAAACCAAGGCUAACAAAUGAAUGAUGAUCCUACGAUAAAAUAUCUUAAGUAGAUUGAUACAUAUGAUAUGUAGCAUCUUCACCGCAUCUAAGAACAAGAGUCGAUGUGUUAUCACAAAAAUAAAAUACAAAAGGGAAGUUUGGGAGAAAAUUAGAGUUAUAAUAAUGUUGAGAGAGAUCCAAUUAAUUAAUACUCUUAAAAUUUUAAGAGAUAAAUUUUUAUAUUUGAGAAUUUAAAUGUGUAAUUGCGACUAAUUAACCAAUCGUGUUGAUUUUUGCAAUUUACCUUUUUUUAUUAAAUUUUCAAGAAAAAAAUAUUUAAUGACGAUCAAAAUGAUCCAUGACGUACAUACAAUUAUUGUCAAACAUUCCAUGUUACUAAAAGAAAAUUGAAACUUUCUCCAACGUUAUAAAUAUUUUAUCCACUUUACUAUUUUUUUUAUUAUUUCCCUAAUUUUGAUUCAAUCAAUUUUCUAGCUAUCAACUACCAUUCUUUAAAAAAAAAUCAAAUAUACAAAAAUAAAAAAUUGUCAAUUUUCGUCCAAAAAAAUUUUAAAAUAAAAUUUGGAAUUUGGAAUAUGGUACCUUUUGGAAUAAGUUUUAAAGCCUUUGAUUAAAAAAAAAAAGUUGCUUCAACCAAAAUCAUUGUAAAUAAUGUUGAAAUUAUAAAAUUAUUAAAAAUAUUUAUAAAUAUAGACAAACUAAAAUUUUAGAAUCUACCGUUGAUGUAACUAAUAAACGUAUAUCAGCGUCUACCGAAUAUAUUCUAAAAAACGGUAAUAUUUUAUAAAUAUUUUAGUAUGUUUACCCUUUCACAAACUUAAUUAAAAUUAUAAUCCAAAUCAAAACCUAUCCAAACAAAUAUUUGGUGUAACUUAAGGGAUGAAUCGCACUAAUAUGACUCAAACAUAUUUUGAGAAACGUGUUUAAAAUGUGAUAAAUUUUUCCACAAUAUUUUAUAGCAAAUGGCAAAUAAUUUAAAGUUUCUUUGAAGCAAGAAUUAGGCAAAGAAGCAUGUAUAUAUAUACAUAUAAUGUAAUUAAAAUUUAUAUUAUAGUGAUGCAAAAUCGUUUCAUAAGCCACUUCAUCUCUCUCUGUUUCAUGGCAUCUUAAGUACACAAAAAGAGAAAAAGGGAAAAAGAGACCUAAUAUAAUAUGUGUUCUUUAAUUGGUGGAUUUUUAUUUAGCAUUAUUAAUUCAUCAAUCACCAAGAAUAUUUAUUCUCAACAAAGUUAUUGAAUGAUAUUAAAUUUACAAGAACUAAAUGAUAUAUCAUUUCGUUUCAUAUUAAAUUUUUGUAAGUUUAGAUAAUUUAUGAAAGUAGGUUUGUUAUGUUUAGGUUAACUAAACACAUACAUGUUAAAUUGAAUAUGUGUUUUAUCUUGGUCAAUUGUGCAAAGUGGAUCCGUGGCGCAAUGGUAGCGCGUCUGACUCCAGAUCAGAAGGUUGCGUGUUCGAUUCACGUCGGGUUCAAUGUCCAUUUUUUAUUUUAGUCAUUUGUGAUCACAAAUAAAUUUAAACCUCAUAAUCAUUGCAUUUUAGGUUAUUGUGUAAAGUUAUAAAACAUUACAAAGUGGAACAAGUAUUGAUAUGAUUUCGUUCCAAUUAUAAUUUAUUUUUAUAGUUUAAUGAGACAUACGAAAAAGCCAACACUUUAGUAUUUUGCCUCUUGAACUUUACUUAAGUUAUAUAUAAAAAAUUAAUAAUGUUGUUGACCACAUGCCUCCUCUUUAAUUGCCACUAAGGUACUACACUAUAGAGAAGAGCUAAUGAGUCCUUGUUUUCUAUAUAAGGAGAUGGAUGAAUGCAUUCUAAGCAUACAUUCCUAUCCAUGGCUAUCUCUAGAGUGUUGUGCAUUGGCUUUCUUCUUUUUGUAGGUUUAGGGUUAGCUUCGGCUACCCGAACUCUUCUUGAUUAUGAUCCACGUGCACGUCGUUAUGAUUACGAUCAUCCUACUCCAAGAGUAGGGUACGAUCCAAGUCAUCGUGAUCAAUCAUAUGAUAAUGCAUACAGUGGAAGUUCUAGUAAAGGAUAUGGAAUUGGAGACUCUACUCUUGGAGGUUCUGGACGAUAUGGAGGUGGCAAAGGACAUGAUUCCGGAUAUGGAGGUCGAAAUGAUGAUCGCAGUACUGGAUAUGGAGGUCGAAAUGAUGACCGCAGUGAUGGAUAUGGAGGUCGAAAUGAUGACCGCGGUGCUGGAUACGGAGGUCGAAAUGAUGAUCGCGGUGUUGGAUAUGGAGGUCGAAAUGAUGAUCGCGGUGUUGGAUAUGGAGGUCGAAAUGAUGAUCGUGGAGUUGGAUAUGGUAAUGGUGGUAGAUAUGGAAGUGUAGGAGGACAUGGUGAUGGUUAUGGUAACAAUGGUGGUGGAAGCUAUGGAGAUCGUUAUGGCCCUUCUCUUGGAGGUUCAGGAAAAGGAAGUAACAAUGGCUAUAACGAUCAUUCUCGUGGAAAUGGAGGACGUGACAGUGGCUAUGGAGAUUCACAUGGACAUGAAGGACGUGAGAGUGGAAAUGGAAGCGGUGGAGGAGUUAGUGGUGGCUAUGGUAAUGGAGGAGUACAUGGAGGAGAGUAUGAUAAUAGCAAAGGAAGUGGAGAAGAAGGGGGUAAUGAUGGUGGAUAUGCUGUCAAAAAUUCUAUCUCAAAGGAGAAUUGAGAAUUCCUCUUUUUCAAGUAAUGAACCCAAUAUCAUAUUAUGUUAACGAGAAAUAAAGAAAUUGGGUGAGAGAAUGUUGUGUUUUAAAUUUAUGUUGAAUUUUCUUUGAAUAAUUCGAAUCAAUAGGUACAAUGAUAAUCAAAUUUGGAUUAUGUUUGUUGUGACAAAUUGACUGUACCCUAUUUUGUUAUAUUUCUCUAUAGAUUUUUUUAUAUAUAUCCAUAUUAAUACGGGUGAUUUUGAACUGAAUCAAAUGACAUAAACAAAGAGAAAAAAAUAUUGUCUAAAAGUUUAUUUGUUAACACCUUAUAAUUCUUAGUAACUUUUUCAAUGAAUGUGUGAUAUUAUAAAAAUAAGUUGUUUCAUGGGAUUCCAAGGAUGGACAAAAGAUGCAUAAAAUACUCUAACUAAUAAAAUGUACACCAUUCCAAACGUGCUAUAUUUUAUGAUUUUCAAAGUUAAACUUUGAAACAAUCUUUUAACACCUUCUAAACACAAAUUAUUUAUCAUACAUGGUGGGCUAAUCAAGUCCAAACUAAUUAAUAGGUCAAACCCAUCAUUCCAAUUGUCUGCUACACGUAACUUAUAAAAAUUUUCAAGAUUUAGUUUGAAUAUUUUAAAUUCAAUGUUUCAAGUUUUUUUAACAAAAUUGAAAAAACUUCACCAUUUUCUUGAGAUUUUCUUAUUAUGAUUACAUCCUUUAAUUUGUUGAAUAAUUAUGUACGAUCUUGUUGCAAGAGAAUAAUAUAUAUAUAUUAUUAUAUUAUAUAUAUACAUACAUUCAUUCAUUUAGGUUUAUGUGGUUCAAAAUCUUUCUACCCUCAAUUAUACUUAAAAAGCAUUGGUUGCACUCUUCUCUUCCAAACCAUGAUAGUUUUUAGGAAAAAAAAGAAACAUGUUGAUGAAAGAGAAUUAGACUACGAUGAUCAUUCUCGUGGAUAUGAAGCGCGUGACAACGGAUAUGGGAGUGGUGGAGGAGUUGGUGGUGGCAGCGAAAAAGGUGGUUAUGGUAAUAGAGAGGUGUUCAUAAAGGAGAAUAUGAUAAUCGGAAAGGAAAUGGGGAAGAAGGAGGUUCUAAUGGUAGAUAUGCACUCAAAAUUAAUUUCAUCUAAUCAAAAGAGAAUUGGAAACUUUUUUUUAAGCAAUGAACCCAAUAUUCAUAUUAAUUGGGCAACAAAAAUAAAGAAAUUGGGUAAGAGACAACGUUGUUUUAUAAAUCUUAUAUGUCAUUAGUUUACUUUUUGGUGAAAGUAAAUAAUUUGGAUUAAGUAUGCAUUUGUAUUAGAACAAAUUGAAUCCAACCAUAUACACAUUAUUUUACUUUUUUAAUAAUAUUUUUUAUUAAAUUAGAUGGUUUUAUUUUAAAAUUAAUUGAUAAUUACGUGAAUAGUAAUAUGUAUAUCUUAUAAACAAUAAUGUUGAUCUCUUCAAUUUUUUAUAUGCAGAAUUAUCAACAUUCUCCACCUAAUGUUCUAGGUUAUUUUUGUAAUCAAAGUGUAACUCUCAGACAAAAACAAAAACGAAAAAACCAAGAAAAUAACUAAAUUUUCAUUUAAAAAGAGAAAAAAGAAUAGCAUAUCAAACAUCCAUCCAAAAUAAGCAUAAUUAAGGGAGAGGGGGCCUAUACGUCAAUUGCUUAGUCUAAACCAAGACUAACAAAUGCCUUGUCCUAUGAUAAAAUAUUUAUAUUUCAAAGAUACAUAUAUUUUCACUACAUCCAAGAUCAAGAGCCAUUGUAUUAUAACAAAAGAUUGUACAAAAGGGGAGUUGGGGAGAAACUUAGAGUCAUAAUGUUCAAAGAGAUCUAAUUAAUACUUGUAAAAUUUUAAGAGCUAAAAUUUUGUAACAGAGAUUGAGAGUGUAAUCGCAACAAAUAAUCAUACUUCAAUGGUUGAUUAAUUUAUCAAGAAAAGUUUUAAAAAAACAUUUAAUGACAGUCAACAUCAACCCUUUCACGUCAUUAAAAGAAAAUUGGAACUUUGCCCACAUUUCUUUAUUAUUUUGCUAUUAAAAAUUAAUUUUGAUUCAAUCAAUUUUUUAGUUAUCAACUACUAUUCUUAAAAAAAUAUAUAUAUAUACAAAAAUUACGAAAAAGAAAUAUUACUUCUCAAACAAGAAUCAUCUUAAAUAAUCAUCCUAUCCAUUUUAAAAAAUAUAUAUAUUUUCAAUAAAUUAAAUAAUAAAAUUAUUGAAAAUAUUUAUAAAUAUAACUAAAAUAAAACUCUAAAAUCGAUGGAGGAUGUAACUUAUGAAAGUCUAUUAGCAUCUAUCAUUAACAUAUUCUAAAAUAUUUUUGUAAAUAUAUUUUGUUUCAUUUUGCUAUACUUAAAAAUAACCUUCCACAAAUUUAAAACUCAAAUUAAUCAAAACCAAUCCCAACAAAUAUUUUGUAUAAUUUAUGCGAUGUGCAUAAAUACGCAUUUUCCCACCAUAUUUGAUAGCAAAUGGCAAAUUAUUUAAUGUUUGUUUGAAGCAAGAAUUAGGCAAAGAAGCAUAUAUCUAUAUAAUAUGUAACUAGAUCUUAUAUUAUAGUGAUGCAAAAUCGUUUCAUAAGGCACUUCAUAUCUCUCUGUCUCAUGGCAUCUUAAGUACACAAAAUGAGAAAAAGGGAAAAAGGGCCCUAAUAUAAUAUGUGUCCUUUAAUUGGUGGAAUUUUAUUUAGCAUUAUUAAUUAAUCAACCGUGUAAAAUAUGGUAGGAAGAAUUAUUCUAAUGAUGAAUGAAAAUUUUAGGUUGGGAGGUCCCAUAUAUGAAGCAUAUGAGAAAUUUUCAAUCUUAAAAGAGUGAAUUAUCAAAUUAAAUUUACAUGAACGAAAUGAUAUAUCAUUUGGUUUGUAUUAAGUUUGUUUAAGUUUAGAUGAUUUACGAAAAUAGGUUUGUUAUGUUUAGGUUGACAAAACGACACUGUAUUUAGAUGAUGGUGUAAAUUUUAACAUGUUAAACAUGUGUUUUAUCUUGGUUUAUUGUGAUCUAAUACAAAUAAAUAUCGUUAUUGAAUUUUAGGUUAUCGUGUAAAGUUGUAAAAUAUUACAAAGUGGUGCAAGUGGGAAAAUGGGAUCAAAAGGAGAGUAUUGAUAUGAUUUCGUUCCAAUUAUAACUUAUUUUUUUAGUUUAAUGAGACAUAGGAAAAAGCCUACACUUUAGUGUUUUGCCUCUUGAACUUCCUUUGAGCUAUAUAUCCAAAAUUAAUAAUGAUUUUUUAGCACGUGUCUCCUCUUUAAUGGCCUCUAAGGUACCACACUAUAGAGAAGAGCUAAUGAAUCCUUGUUUUCUAUAUAAGGAGAUGGAUCCAUGCAUUCUAAGCAUACAUUCCUAUCCAUGGCUAUUCCUAAAGUGUUGUGCAUUGGCUUUCUUCUUUUUGUGGGUUUAGGGUUAGCUUCGGCUGCCCGAACUCUUCUUGAUUAUGAUCCACGUACACGUCGCUAUGAUUACGAUCAUCCUACUCCAAGAGUAGGGUACGACCCAAGUCAUCGUGAUCAAUCCUAUGAUAGUGCAUACAGUGGAAGUUCUAGUAAAGGAUAUGGAGUUGGAGACUCUGCUCUUGGAGGUUCUGGACGAUAUGAAGGUGGUGGAGGACGUGAUUCCGGAUAUGGAGGUCGAAAUGAUGAUCAUGGUGUGGGAUAUGAAGGUCGAAAUGAUGGUCGUGGUGCUGGAUACGGAAGUCGAAAUGAUGAUCGCAGUGCUGGAUAUGGAGGUCGAAAUGAUGAUCGUGGUGCUGGAUAUGGAGGUCGAAAUGAUGAUCGUGGUGCUGGAUAUGGAGGUCGAAAUGAUGAUCACGGUGCUGGAUAUGGAAGUCGAAAUGAUGAUCAUGGUGCUGGAUAUGGAGGUCGAAAUGAUGAUCGUGGGGUUGGAUAUGGUAAUGGUGGUGGAUAUGGAAGUGUAGGAGGACAUGGUGAUGGUUAUGGUAACAAUGGUGGUGGAAGCUAUGGAGAUCGUUAUGGCCCUUCUCUUGGAGGUUCGGGAUAUGGAAGUGGAGGAAAAGGAAGUGGCAAUGGCUAUGAUGAUCAUUCUCGUGGAAAUGGAGCACGUGACAAUAACUAUGGAGAUUCUCACGGACAUGAAGGACGUGACAGUGGAUAUGGAAGUGGUGGAGGAGUUAGCGGAGGCUAUGGCAAUGGAGGAGUUCAUGGAGGGGAGCAUGAUAAUAGCAAAGGAAGUGGAGAAGAAGGGGGUAGUGAUGGUGGAUAUGCUUUCAAAAAUUCCAUCUCAAACAAGAAUUGAGAACUCUCUUUUAAGCAAUGAACCCAAUAUCAUAUUAUGUUAAAGAAAAAUAAGGAAAUUGGGUAAGAAUGAAUAAUGUUGUGUUCUAAAUGUAUGUUGAAUUUACUUCAAAUGAAUGCUAAAUUUGAAUCAAUGAAUUAUGUUUGGAUUAUGUUUGUUGUUACAAAUUGAUUCCACCUUUCUUUUUGUUUUGUUUCUCUAUACAUUUUUCUAUAUAUCCAUAUUAAUAUGGAUUGAUUUUGGACCGAAUCGAAUGACAUAAUAAUCUAUGCCAAAUAAGAGUAAAACCACAUAGCCAAGAAAAUGAUAAGAGUAAAAGGAAAAAUAGUAUGUACAAUGUAAGACAAAUAAUUGUGUCUAGGAGAAGAGGGUGUUACUCAAGCCAAUGCAUUUAACCUCGACAAGACUCAACCUCAAGUUGAGCCUAACAAAAUGUCUAGUUGGGCAUACCCUUGUCAAAAUGCAUCACUUUAAUUAAGACUAAAAUAAACAUAUAGAGAAGGGAGUUUGAGCUUGAUAGGUCGAGACCAAUCCUAGCAGAAUAUUAAACAGAACUUGCCCUUCACAUGCCUCAACCUAAGUGAGUUGAAAAGGUUAUCGUAUCGUACCUCCAAAACUCUAUUCGGACAUAACCUAACUAAUUAACUAGGUUUAUUUAAUUCUACAAAUAAAUCAUUAGAGCUCUACAGAAACAAACUCUAUUCUCACUCAAUUUCUUUGACAUUUUUCAACUCUCUCUAAAAGCCAAAUAGGCACAACCCUAAAUCCUUACAUCUUCAAACCCUGUGUUUUAAUUACUAUGGAUAAAAGAGAACACAAAUCAAAUUUUACUUUCUUAUAUUUAGAUCAUAUUUCUUUUGAAAUUCAAAGUAAUGGAUAACACAAUAUGCUUCCAUUUCUAAUUUAAAUGAAAAUUUCAACAUUCCUAAUUACUGAUUUAUUUACACAAAAUAGCCCAAAGUAAAUAACUAUAAGUGAGUUUUCUUUACUAUUAUUUUGGUGAGUGAAGAUACUAUGAGUUUUUAUAUCACUAAAAUGUGAUAAUUUUUCCAACCAUUAUUGUAUUAGCAAAUGGGAAAUAAAUUAUUUAAUAAUGUAUCUAUAAAGUGGGAAGAAUUAGGGAAACAAAAUGCAUAAUUAAAUAUGUAAAAAAACUAUAGUAAUGCUAUGUCGUUUCAGAAACCAUUUGAAGAGUUAAGGAAAAAAGAGGGGAAAAAAAGCUCUAAUAUAAUAUAUGCUCUUUAGUCCUUUUUCUUAAAAAAAAAUUAAUGCUCUUUAAUUAGUUUGAAAUAGCCAUAUAAAUUAAAUAUCUUCCUAAAAGGAAAGAUGGGUUCUCAAGAAAAAAUAUAUUUCAAUGCUUCUUUUUCUUUUUCUUUUUCUUAAUCCUUGUUGAUGAAGAGAAUUCAGGCUUAAAAAUGGAGAAUUUCAUAUUUUCUAAUAUUUUACACUUUUUUCAACCUCAUAAACAAAUUUUGAUUAAAUGGUUGUAGUAAAGAUACUUUUCUUUUUUUUUCACCAAAAACAGCUUUAUUUUAUUUUAAUCUUCUGUCAUAUUUGUAUCGAGAAAAUUAAAUAAAUACUAUUUUUUUUCAAUAUAUUUAAUUUCGUUUUAAAAUAAAGGGAAAAUCCCUAGAAAUCAUCACUUUUCUCUUCUUCUUUGAAGACCCUCUUCUUUUAUGGUAUAACUUUCAUUAGUUGUUCUUAAUAUGCUUCUUUUAACUUUAACUGUCAAAUAUAUAUAUACACAUACAACGAUAAUUUAUCCUUAAUAUCAGAUAUAAAGUUUUUUUUAUGCAUGGCUCUAAUCCAAAAGACUUCAAAAAAAAAAUUACCAAAAUGUAAAUCGAUGAUGAGAAAUUAAAAAAUUGAUAUGGCUAAUGUUUAAUAAGCUAGAUUGAUUGAUAAGUUACUCAUCCCACAAUUACUUGAUUUUGAGAUGAAACGUCAAGUUAUCUAAUAUUAUAUCGUAACUCGCGAAAACAUAAACGAACAUUCAGAUCAAAAAAAUAAAUAUUGGAGUCCAAUUCAAGAAUGAUGAACCCAAAGAGAGACAUCAUUUAUCAAUGGUGUGUAUACUAGCCAAGGAUCUUAUCAUGCUAGAAUAAUUGAGGGACCUUUUAUGUUUAUAUAUAAGAUGUAUAUGUUUCUUCUCUUAUAUUUUAUAUUGGUUUUAAGAUGUAAAGCUCAUGUUAUCUAAUAUAUGAUGUCGGUUGUUCGAAAAUUCGAUGUAAAAAUAGUAAAUAAUCGAAAGAAGCACGGAUCCCAAAAGGACAUAUCAAGGAAACCUCACACCAUGCAUCUUUAUAAGUCCCUCACACCAUGCAUUCAAAAACUAUAAUUGAGGGACCUCACACCAUGUCAUGCAUCUUUAUAACGUCAAUCAUACAUAUCUAUUAUUAAUUUCCUCUCAUAUGGCUCAUGAUAUACUACGUGUAACAAUUUUUCAUUGCCAAGAAAUUUCCAAAUUGUAAUAGUGGUAAGUUAUGAAAUGAUUUUCUUACAAAUAUCUUCAUAGAUAAAUUAAUAAUAAAACAUCAUGUGUGAACGGCAGAAUCCAAUUGACUGAAAAAUCAUUUUGGAGUAAUAUUAUCGGUUGUGAGCACAAUCCUUUGAUCUAUUUGGUGGGAAAGAAACAGUAGAACCUUUACUUGAGAAGCUAUAAUUCUUACAUUUUUAUUAAUUAUCAUAUUACUUCGUCUUUAUUUUAAAAAUAUUCAUACAAGACAUGAGAGAUUAGCAUAGGCAUUCAAAUAUCAAUACCUUUGAACAAAAAAGCUUUUCCUUGGCCCUAAAAAAGUUGUACAACAAUUAACAAAACACUCCAAUAUUAAGGUUAAUAGGAAGAAUGCCUAAACUUAACUAUAAAAAUUGUUUGGAACUACAAAACUAAGCAAACUAAGGUGGCUAAACUCAACAUGAAAAUAAAGAAGAGUAAUUUAAACUUAGAUAUUUAUUCAUGUCACCUAAACUUUUAAAGUCGUUUUUGAUUGCAUGCUCCUCUAAACUUUAUCAAAUCUUGCGAGAUCAUGUAAGGGGAAAGAUGGAAUCAACUUAGCCUUACUUUAAUUUAAUAUGUUUUAGUACCACAUGUCAACAUAAAAUAAAGAAAUUAGGUUAGAGAGAAGGUUGUGAUCUAAAUCUAAGUACAUUAAUUAAUGUCAAAUUUCAAUCCAUGUUUGAAUGAUAAACAAAUUUGGAGUAAAGAAUAUUACUCAACCAUACAUAAGUAAGACUUCAACUCUAAUUGAAAGGGGCUGACAAGUAUAGUUACUCCUAAACUGUCUACAAAUAUUAAAUAUUAUAUGAAGACAAUAAAGUUAAGGGGAGUUCGAGUCCCCUAGACCUAUACUAAAUCCGUCGGUCAUGGUGAUGGUGCACAACACUCAAUUGUUCAACACAACUAUGAUGAAUUUUUUUGUUUGUUGGGAGAGAAAACACUAAUAUGUUUUAUUUCAUUAAAAUGUGAUAUUUUUGUCCCAUGAUUAUUGUAUAGAGAAAUGGGAAAUUAUAUAUAUAGUGUAAGCUUCAAGUGGGAAUUAGGAAACACAUGCAUAAAUAUAAAGUUACGAUAAUUAUAGUAAUGCAAUGUCGUUUCAGAAGCCCAUUAUUCAUCCUCUCAAUUAUCUCAUGCAUGGUGGCUCUCAUCAAGUUGAGAAAAAGGAAAAAAAAUAGGCCUAAUAAAAUAUAUGUUCUUUGUUUCUUGGUAACCAUUGUAAAUUAAUCGUAAUAUAAAUAUCUUCUAAAAGAGAAAAAAAGAAGACUCUCAAGACAAAUUAUCAUGCUUCGUCAAUCCUCUUUUUUUUUUUUUUUUUUUUCCUCAAUCUUUAAUGAUAGAAGAAAAUUUUAGCUCAAUAAAAUUGAAAUUUUUGUAUUUUAAAAAAUUUAUGAUGUUUUUUAACACGUGUAUAUAUAUAUAAUGAACAAUAUAACAAAAUAUCACAUUAAGUUUUACUAUAUAUUUAUAAAUAUUUUUUUAAUUAAUUUUUUCACUUAAUUUAAAAAUAUUUUUUCUAUAUAAAUAUUAUUAAUAAAGAACAAUUACAUUAGCUUCUCUUUUUACGUAUAACUCUUACUUUGGAUUGAACUUUUAACUCUUGAAAAGAGCAUUAGUGAGCCAAUUAAUUCACUUUGACUACAUAACUUUCUUUAGUUGCUUAAUAUAUUUGUUUUGGUGUUAAACUAUCAUUAUAACAGAACAAUUAGGAUAGUUUUCAUUUUCGUGUAUAACGUUUUUCUAUGGUCGAUAUCUAAGGAAAUAAUCAAAAAAACAAAUGUACUUACAAUAAAUUUCAUUGUGUCAUAAAAUGAAAUUUCCAAAUUAUGUAAGUGUUAAGUUGUAAAAGUUGAUAAUCAAAUUUCAAUGUGAAAUUAUAUAUUUUGGAAAUAUCUGCACCAUAGACAAAAAUUAAUAAACAAACUUCUCAAAAUUAAGUGUGUUAAUUAUAAGAGAAUGCCUAAACUUAACUAUAAAAAAAUAAGUUGGAGCCAAAACUAAUUAGCUAAAAUAUUAAGGUGAAUUUAUCACAAAAAGUACAAACAAGUGAAGUAAGGUGGUGUUGCAUAAAGCCUACUGAUUUUCAACUUUGGCUUUCUAAAUUUGAGCUCCUCACGUUUUCACACAAAAGCUUCUCACAACCUUUGAAUAAGAUCCUCUCAAAAGAACAUCAACUACUGAUGUAUUAAACUAAUAAAGAGCCAGCCUAGUUUACUUGACUACUAGUAACAUCCUCAACAGUGACGUACAUUUAAUUUCACAAACAGUGCGUAAGGAUUAAGGUUAAACAAUCUCUCAAAACAUGCACACACAGUAUUUUUAACAGAGCUAAUUAACCCUAAAAAUAAACAAAACUCAUAAUAUAUAUGGAAGCUGAUCUUGAGCAGAUAGGAAAAAAGAUUAUCAAAAAGAAUAGAAAAACAAAUUAAAUCAGCAGGUUUAAUUUUCCCUACACGGUUCAAUAGAUUAAGAAAAAAAUCUUGAUACAAAAUUCGAAGGAGAAAUAUAGAUUUUGACAGAAAAUGUUACAAAACAAGUUGCUCAAGUUUUGCUUGUAACAAAAUCCGCCAAUCGUAGUACAGUAACACAUAAGCAACUAAAAUGACUGAUCUCAACAAGAAUGGAAACACUAGAUAUGUUACAAGAGAACAUGCAUAAAUACAGUUUGGUCUAAUUAAAAAAACAGUGUCUUAGAUAACACAAGAAGGUAGAAAAAUAGAUGAGAGAGUAAUCAAACUUAGCUGACAAAUAUGGAUAUUAAUGAAUUUCACCUGAACUUUAUAUAGUUUUUCUUUACUCUUCUCUAAAUCUUACCAAAUAUUGCAAGAUCGUGUAAGUGGACAAUGGAAUAAUCGUAAUAAUCAAUUGAAGCCUUACAUAAAAUAUCGAUGUGUUUUAGUACCAAAAUCGAACUUUAGUUAGUACCUAAUAUGACAAAAGGCCUCACUACGUAGUAUUUUGCCUCAUGGACAUCCAUGGAGAAGUUGAUGAACCCACCACUUUUUUUAAACAUAUGACACCCUCUUUACCGUGAAGGACACCAUAGAGAAGUUGAAGAGACCCUCCACCCAUUUCCUAUAUAAAGAGAUCAAUGCAUGCAUUUUCUUGGCAUUCUACUCAUUCUCUAAUUCUCUCCAUGGCUAUCCUUAGAGCACUGUGCCUUGCCUUUCUUCUCUUUGUACGGUUAGGUUUAGCUUCGGCUACUAGAACUCUUCUUGAUUAUGAUCCACGUACACUUCAAUAUGGCUAUGAUCGUCCUAGUCCAAGAGUAGGGUAUGAUCCUGGCCAUGGGGAUGAAUCCUAUGAUAAGGCAUACGGUGGAAGCUCUAGUAGAGGACAUGGAAUUGGAGACUCUGCUCUUGGAGGUUCUGGAUACGAAGGUGGUGGAAGACACGAUUAUGGAUAUGGAGAUCGACAUAAUGAUCGUGGGGUUGGAUAUGGUAAUUAUGGUGGUGGAUAUGGAGGUGUAGGAGGACAUGGUGAUGGUUAUGGUAACAAUGGUGGUGGAAGCUAUGGAGAUCGUUAUGGACCUUCUCUUGGAGGUUCAGGAUAUGGAAGUGGAGGAAAAGGAAGUGGCAAUGGCUAUGACGAUCAUUCUCGUGGAAAUGGUGCACGUGACAAUAGCUAUGGAGAUUCUCAUGGACAUGGAGGACGUGACAGUGGAUAUGGGAGUGGUGGAGGAGUUACUGGUGGCUAUGGUAAUGGAGGAGUGCAUGGAGGAGAGUAUGAUAAUAGCAAAGGAAGUGGAGAAGAAGGAGGUUAUGAUGGUGGAUAUGCUGUUAAGAACUCCAUCUCAAAGGGAAAUUGAGAAACCCUUGGCUUCUUUUUCUUAUUAUACUAUGCCAGCUAAAAUAAAAAUAUGGGGUAAGGGAUCAAGAAUAUUGUUAUCUAAAUCUAUGUUUGAGUUGCUCUUGUAAUGAAUGUAAUUAAUGAUAUAAACAAAAUUUGGAUUACAUUUUGUAUGAACCAAGUGAUUGGACCAUAUACACUUCUAUUCUUAUUAACUUUGAUUUGAGUAACACAAGCAAUAAUUAAACUUUUUUAUUUAUGACUAAUUUUAAAACUUGGGUUAAUAAUGAUGCAAUAUACAUGAAGAUGUGGGAAGAGAAAGGUAUACAGAGUGUGGUGCUCACCCCACACUCAAACUUUGAUGAAUUCCUUUUUUAUUUUCUUUUUACAUAGUUUUAAAAUAACUUGACAUUUACUUCACAAGACUAAUAUCCUUUUCUAAUACUCAUUUAAAUAGUUUUUGUCAUGACGAGAUGGAUCCCAGAGUUGAUUAGUUUUAAAAUUUUACCUUUUCUAAUAUGACAAUGCUAUAAUCUUAAAUCGGUUUAGAAAAUCUAUUUUAGUAAUUGGAAACUCCUUUAGAUUUUUUUAAAUUCAUAUAAUCGUGAAAAUAUAAAUUAUGCAGAAGAGGUUUAGAAAACAAAAUUCAUGCAAUAGCCAAAUUUGCACUUCCUUUGCUAUUAUCAUACUCUCCUAUUUUUUUGUGAUUUUUCAUUUUUAACUAUAAUUUUACAUAUAUGUGCAUAUCAUAUAUAUAUAUUGGACAUGGUGCAUAAGCACUUUGAGAUUUAUAUAUCUCUCUAUAAAACGUGAUCAUUUUCCCUCCAUUAUUAAUUAUAGUAUUAUGAUAUCAAAUGGAAUAGAUUAUGUCUCAAGGUGGGAAUUAAUUAUAUAUUUAGCAUUGUAAAUGCAAAGUAGUUUGAGAAAACCCAUUUCUUCAUCUCAAUGAUCUAAAUGACAUAAACAAAGAGAAAAAUAGUAAUAAUUAAACCUAAUAAAUGUAUAAUAUAUAUAUGUGCGUGUGUUCUUUAAUAUUUUUACCUUGGUAGGUUUUUAAUUAUAUGCAUUAUUAAUUUUAAUAAUAAAUAUAUUUAAUUAUUACACCUACACUUAAAAGUUUUUUAUUUGCCCCAAAUCUUGGUAGAUCUUUCAAGCAAGUGGAAGGAUUUAGAUCAAAAGGCUAACUUAAAUAAUUGAUAUGAAAUUAGUUCAAAUCUACUUUUGGCCCUAAUCUUCUCACACCAAAAUUAUAUUGUGUUCCCCUACACAAUAGGGCUGCCUCUUCAACCUCUCUAUGAAGAUGAAAUGUCCUUUUUUAAGGAGAUAUUCAUGGAUGAUGCAUUAUUCUAAGCAAAUCUCUCCAGGAUUAAUAUUCCUAUUGGAUUUCCUUUUUCUUGUGGGUCGAAGAUUGAAGUUUUCUCGACUAUAGUUCUUAUACACAUCACUACAAUUCAUUACAAGCAUCAUAUCCUAAUCCAAAUGUAAAAUAUAGGAUCGUAUUUAUUGUGGUUGAACAUUUCAAAGUGUAAGAAUAUGAACAUCAACCACAACCUCUUAGAUUGAUUGUGUUUAUAUAAUGCAAAGACUAAAAGAGAUAUCAUUCCAUAAACCUUUAUAUAUAUAUAUAUAUAUAGAGAGAGAGAGAGAGAUAUAUAUAUAUAAAGAUAAAUUAAAUAACAUAUAUAUUUAGAAUACUCUAAGACGUAAUAUAAUGUUGGUAGUCGCAAUGCAAAAUCAAAGUUUUUUAAAUUGAUUUGCAUGUAAUGAUCUCACAACGAUCUGUUUCAUCUCACUUUCAAACCCAUCAGUUCAUUAGUAUUGGGCCUUGAUUAGCUCUCUAACAAAGCCCAAUAGUGUACAUAUUCAUCUCGAUUUUUCUAUGUUUUCUACCUCACUUUAGUUGUGUUAUAGGUCUCACAAUUUAGUAUUAUUCUAGAAAGUAAACUCAAGACGACGUCAAUCUGAUUUACAUGCUGUUAGGACGAGAGAAUUUUAUGUACAAACUCCAUAAUAUUUGAUUUAAUUCACUUGUCGACUUUUUAUAAAUUUGUGACUAGAAGUAUAUAUCUCGACUAUCUUUUGAUCAAUUUCUACACAGUUCUGUAAAUUUGUAUAAGAUGGAGGUUAUUUCAGCUUAUAGCCCUUGCGAUUAUGUAUUGCUUAUCUAAUUUGAGUUUGAAUAUGAGAAGUGUAUUGUAAUUGUAUAUAUCCAGUUAAAGUGUAUAAUCAGAUUGCUAAUGUAUAUAUGUUAGUAUAUGAAGAGAAGAAGAAGAAGAAGAAAUGUAAAGGUUGUUGAAGCUAAGUGUGGAACAAAAGGAGAGAUCCACUAGAGGGAAGCAAUAUGAGAUAAUGGAUCGACCCCACACGUUGUUAUGAUUCAAAACACUAAAGACAAAGAGAUUUGGGGAUUUGCAUGUGGGAAAUUCAUAAAUAUGUCCAUUAUACUUUCUCUUUUGCUGCUGCUUUUCUACUUCAUAGUUCACACAAACCCUUCUUUCUCCAAACUUACCCAAUUAUAUGUCACCUAACUUAGGUUAAAACAUAUAACACUACGAACCUCCGAGUCUACCUCCAAACGUUACUGUUAUAUUAUCAAAAUCUUGUGCUAAUUUAGUCUCUAUUGACAUUUUAUUUGUAUCAUACCUUUGAUAUUUUACUGAUCAUGGGAGAGAUAUUUGCUCCACACGCUCCUAUAUAGCAUUUCUUCGUAGUCUCUUUUAACCGUUAGAGCUAUCAAAUAGUGGCUCUUUCUUUAGCAACGGUUGUUAAAAAUGUAUUUUUCAAUGGCACUCUAUCUAAAGAGGGGUGUAUAUGAAAUCACCAUUGUGGCAGCUUUUCUUUCCCCUUAUAAAAUGUGUCUUCUUUAACACACGUCUUGUAUGGUCCUAAAACAAGUUUCACGCAGGUCUAGUUUCACCUAACUUGAGUUUACUUCUAAUUCUCACGAUACAACACUUUCUAUGAGUUAAACUCUUCAAGAAAUAUCGUUCCUCCUAUAUGCUGAUCAUAUGAUUAGUAUAGAUGAUGAUCCUUAAGCUAUAUCGAAUAUGCAAUGUUGCCUUAAAUGAUUCUCUAAUUAGGACCACUCCACUAUUUCCUUGGCCUUUGAAAGUUUCAUCCCCCUCUAAUGGGGUAUUCAUCUCAAGCAAAAUAUACUAAUUCUCAUCCCUAAGUAAAUUAUAAAUAUACUUUUGAUCUCCUAGCUCAUUCUAGUAUAUUACUGAGACCUUUGUUGAUCACGUCAUCAAAGACUACUAGAACUCUUUUUAACUCCUUUUGAUAGUGCUCUUCUCGAAAAUGCAACUCUAUAUUGACAACAUACUAGUAGUCUUAUUUAUCUCGUUGUGGGUUGAUCAAAUAUUGCAUAUAUUGCUCAGAUUAUUAUUUGGUUGCUUCAAUGCUAAUUUUGUUGGUGAGGAUCGGUGUUCUCAUUUGGUGUAGAUAUAAAAAAACAAACUACAGUAUCUCGCACUUGGUAAUAUUAUUUCUCAGUUUUCAUAUUGGUUUCUUGGAGUGUUCCUCAGUAGUCUACUAGUUAUAUUUGUGUGACCAUCGUAGUGCUUUUUUAGAUUGCAAAUUGUGUGGUUUCUUCUAGAAACAUACCAAGCACAAUAAAAUUGAUUGUCACUUUGUCCAUCAUCAUCUCCCAAGCAAGAUCGUUCUAUCCCCACUAAAUCAGUAACCCAUUGAAAUCCUCACAAAAGUGUUAUCCCCCAAACACUUCUCUAUCCUACUUCACAAACUCAAGUUGGUGUCUGCCUUUUUCCACUCAUAACAAAAAAGCACCUCACAUCUAAAACUUCAACCAUUUUCAAGUUACAAAAUUUACUCUUCUACUGUGACAGCCCUUUUAAGAAGAAUGGGUUUUCAAUAAUAGAAAACAAAGAUAACAAUAAAAUAAAGUAAAAGAUUUAUAAGAGAGUGUGUAAUUUGAAAUCAAGUUCAAAUUCAAUUAAUACAUAACUCUAAAUAUUAUCAAACUAGCUGCCUACUCUCAUGAUAAACUUUUUGUUAGUUUUUCACAAUGUGAAAAAACUUGGAAUAGUUUAAUUAUUCUCAACAUUAUUUAUAAAGUCGGUGACCUAAUUUCUUACUAUAAUCAUAUCAACUAGAGAUAGAUAUAGAAUGAAUGUUAGUUCAUUAAUUUAAUGAUGAGUAGUAGCUAGGUAAAUGAACUACUAUGUAUUCAACUAUUUGUUGAAUGUCCCAUCAAUCCAUAUCUAACUAAGAAAAUAACAUAAAAACAUUAAGUUAAACAAGUGAUGAAAAAAUUUGUUAUAUAUAUUUAUUUUAUUUCUUCGGACGAUAAUUUUUUUUUUAUUUGUAUGGGUGUUCUAAACAUUUUCAAACUUAAAAGUGACAAAAAUCGGUUAAAAGAUUGGUAUGUAACUAUAUUAGUCAUAACUUAUAAACUUUAGCUUUUGGGUUGAAAACAGUUAUUUAUGUGGUAUCAGGACAAGAAAAUUGUGUAUAAACUCCAUGAUAUUUGAUUUUUGGUGUUAUUAUCACCAAGCAUGUCCUCUCUUUCCUAAAUUAAAAAUUUUGUGUUAUUAUCAUAUGAAAGUCAGGUAUGUUUUCUUAUAUUUAAAUUAUUGAAAGUGAAUUAGGUUAAAAGUUUUUUAUUUCCUUCUAAUUUUUUUUACUUAAUAAAUUGUCUUGGUAAUUUUUUUUUUAAAAUAAUCAUAAGAAAGAGCAUAUGUUGAAUUGGAAAUAUAUCAACUAAGUUAACAAACCCUUACUACUAUCUGUCACAUCCUAACCAAAAGAGAUAAUAUUGUCUUGGUAAUUUUUAACCUUCAAUUUCCAAUUCAUCACAUGGAAGCUAAACAAAGGGGUUAUGGAGCAUCAAUAGUUCAAGUUGGUUGUUUGGUAGAAAACACUCAUUGAGGUAUGGGAAACAGCAAGAGGCACACUAAUGGAAGUUGGGCCUUUUUUCCUUCUCUUUUUGCAUGUGCUUAUAGCCCACUUAGAAGUUGAUACUUACUCCACCAAUUCCUAUAUAAAGGGAUCAGAAGAUGCAUUGUAAGCAUAGGCCUCGUGUUUUGAGUUCCUAUGGAGAAUCAUAGAGUACAAUUCCUUGCUUUGUUUGCUUUAUUGGGUUUAGGGUUAGCUUCGGCCGCCAGAACUCUUAUUGCUUAUGAUGGCGAUGUCCAUGCCCCUGUGUUAGGGCAUACUUCUGUUGGAUAUGGUGGUGGAGAAGGAGCUGGUAGUGGAUAUGGAGUUAGCGUUGGAUAUGGCGGUGGUGGAGGAGGAGGACGUGGUGGUGGGGGUGGUUCUACAAAUGGUGGUGUUGGAUAUGGAAAUGGUGGAGGUGAAGGAAGUGGCGCUGGAUAUGGAGGUGGAGAAGAACGUGGUUAUGGCAAUGGUGGUGGUGGGGGAGGGGGAGGAAGUGGUGGUGGUGGUGGUGGUGGAAGUGGUGUCAGAUAUGGCCCGGUCGGUGGUUAUGGAAGUGGAGAAGGAGGUGGUUCUGGUGGUGGUUAUGGAGGCGGGGGAUCGGGUUAUGGAGGUGGUGGAGGUGGUGGCGGUGGUGGAAAUGGAGGUGGUAGUGGUGGUUAUGGUGCAGGAGAAGCGAGCGGAGGAGGAUAUGGAAGUGGUGGAGGACAAGGAGGAGGCUCAGGGAGCGGAGGGGGAGGGCAUGGAGGCGGCGGAGGAGGCGGUUGGGGAGGUGGGUAUGGUAGUGGAGGAAAUGGUGGUGGAUAUGGAAGUGGCGGAGGAGAAGGAGGAGGCUCAGGGAGUGGAGCAGGAGGACAUGGAGGUGGCGGAGGAGGUGGCUCCGGCGGUGGCUAUGGUGGUGGUGGAGGUGCACAAGGAGGAGGGUACGGAGGUGGGGGAGGGAGUGGAGGAGGGGGUGGUGGAUAUGCACCUUGAUUCUAUUUUAUUAUCUCAACAAAAAGGAAAAUAAUUUAAGAAGAAGAAGAAAGGUUAUAAAGAAGAGUACUAUUGAUUACAUUUUAUGUUCUUAAUAAAUGAAGUUUACUAUAGGGAUGAUAGUGAUUGAAGAAUGGGAAAUUAGGGACUCUUAUUUCAUUUGGAAACCCUUCCUUUUGAUCAUCUUUCCCUAAUCUGUAUUUGUAUUUUGUGUCAUGUGAUUUUCAAUUCUAAAUAUGCAAUUAAUUGUAAUUGUGAUUUACAACUUUUCCAUUCAUUUGUGCUCCAUCUAAAUGUAUGUAAACAUGAGAUUGAUGAUCACUAUAUUCAUUCAUCCAACAUACAAAUUCAAUCGUUAUUUUUACCGAGUUUUAAAUUUCACAUUUGCAUAUUGUUGAACUAAAAAAAUAUUGCACCAACUUAUAUCUAUGAAGUUUAAAAUGAGUUUCGAUAUCUCUAUACCUAGUUAACAAUAUUUGUAGAUCAAUCAUAUUUUUCAAUCAAUUAAAACCGUUUAUUUUUGGUAAUUUAUUAUGUAUAUAUUUGAUAUAAAGAUUUAAAAUACGAUAGAAUCGCUUAAGUCAAUCAAAACAUAGCUUAAUAGAAUACCCUCACAAUCUUAACUCUUUCUCUUACGCACCACUAAACUCAAAAUAAUAAUAAUAAUAUGAUUUAAUUAAUUCAUAAACAUCAUAUAAUAUCAUAAAAGUAUUAUUAUUUUAGUUUAAUAGUGAGUUUGGCGUAGUUGAAUUUCAGAAUAUUUUUUUUUGGCUAAACUAUUUAAUUAUAACUAUUUUUACAAAAAAAAAAAAAAAAUUGUUUUAACAUAAGAUACAUAUUAAAUUCACUGAACGUUUAAGAAUUCUUAAUCAUUCAUGUCUUUAAAUUUUGAUUCUAUUUCAAUCCAAUCACCAUUAUUAACCCGAUAAAAUUUACAACAAAGUAGAUCACUAACAAGCAUGAUAUGAGAUAAGAUUCCAUUAAUAACAUUAAACGUAUAUAGGAAUCAAAUAAUAUUUUGAAAAGACCUAUGAACCAAAUAAAAGUGCAGUACAAAUUAAAACAAAAACAAAAGGUUCGAUACUCAAACUUUUAUUAGUUUAAAAACAAUUAGAAAAAAGGAUUAAAUUUUAACUAAUUUAUGAAUAAAAAGAUUGUCUUGAAUCUAAAGUGGAACCACUUGGGAAUUCAGGCUCUCUAUUGAUCAUAUCAACACUUCCAUCUUCUCUAAGCAUCACCAUAUUUGAUUUUAUUUUCUUGGCAUAAAACGCUCUAUUACCUCUUUGAUGCCUGCCCAUUUGUGUUCUUGUUUUUGUCAGUUCAUACAAAUAUAUAAUAAUUCCUUUUUUUCUCAAUAUCAAAUAAAUCACUAGACUUUACUGCUGCCUUCAAAAAUUGUGAAAUAUACUAAGAAUAUGACUUUCUUUAAAAAAAAAAUGUUUUUUACAGACAAAUGAAACAAACAUAAAUUUCAAGAACUAAUAAAACCAAUUUUGUUAUCUUUACUCAAAAGCUAAGGAUGGCAAUGAAAAAAUAUAUAUAAUAAUAAAUUAGAUUUAUUCAACUUUGAUAUCAUCACUCACUCAUCUUUGUUUUUUUCUUUUUUUCUUUUUUUCUUUUUUUACUUUCUCACUUUUUAACAAUAGUUCAAAACUUUAGCUAACGUUUAAGAAAAUAGAUAGAUGGCUCGAGAAUCAACUAGUUUAGAGCAAAUUCAUAGCGACAAGAUUAGAAAUUGCUUAAGAAUCGAAUCUUUGGACAAGACUAUAUAACUGUUUUAGUUGAAGAAAAUAGAGAAACGAAUGGUUGAGACAUGAGAGACAAAAUGUUUUGAAGUGUUUUUGAAAAAGUAUUUUAUAAUAAUAAGAAGAAGAAGAACAAUAAUGAUAAUAUAAUAAAAUAAAUUAACUUACUUAUCAAAUACAACCCAUGUUGCAUGAAGGCUUGAGAUUUGCUCAACAAUAAGCAAUCUAAGUGGAUGACCCAUUACUACUUUCUUUUGUGGCACAACCUGAGAAACAAAAAGAAAAAAGAAAAAGGUAAUAAUAAUACACUGAUUCAUUAAUAAAAUAUGCUUUGAAAAUAUUAACCAAAAAUGUAUAUACCCCAUAUUUCCUACAGAGUGAUACCACAGCUUCAAGUUUUGCAUAUUUGGCUUCACUAAUAUACUCUCUUUCCACUCCCUCAAAGGACAUCUCCUCCAAAUUUAUUGGCCAAAUAUCCAACCAAGUUUUUGAUGAAACUACAAAAAUUCAUUUAUGUAAUGAUAUUAAGAAAACGCUAGAACAAUCAUACAGUUCGAUGUUAAGAAAAACAGGUAAAAAAACUCACGAGGAAUAUUGAGCCACGGCAUUGCACCAACAAGAGUAACGAUGCAACCAGGCUUAAUGACGUUGUCCAAUGCCCACUUAAGUGGGUCCGUUGUGAACUCUUCCAUUCCAUCCAUGACGACCACUACAUGUCUACUUGCAGCCUCUGAUGUUGAGCUCAAAGUCGGUGUUGGUGUUGGUGUUGGAGUUGGAGUUUGAGUUGGGGUUGGGGUUGGCGUAUCAUCCUCCAUGUCUUCGUUUCCAGCCCCUGCCAUGGCACAAAAAAUGAAAAUAAGGAAAAACAGUGUUGAUGGAAGACUACUUAAUAAUGUUUUCUAUAUAAUUCUUGUUUAGCUGUCUUGAGCAUAUUAAAUAACAAGGUUCGAUACUUACAAGAAUAUGCAUUGUAAUCUGCUCAACAAACCAACAAACAUCUCUAACAAUCAAUAUCUUCCAUCGAUUCUGUCAAAAUCAAACUCUUCCUACACUCAAAGCUCCAAAGUGAUGUGAUCCUUAUGCUAUUGAUCAUAGUUAUCAUCUCUAAAUAUCAGUCAAGUUACUAAAGAAAUUGCUUUAAAACAAAUUGAAACAGAUCGUCAUCAGAUAUGAAUUUGAUUAUAUAACAUGUCAAGCAUCAGAGUUGAAAAUGUUCUCUAUACAGAUUGAAAAAGCGUUGAUCGACUGAGGUCGAAUACAAAACCUGGACUCUUAUGAUAGCUAGAAAUAAAUUUAAAGGUCUUCCAUCACCACAUAUUUACCUCUAAAAAAAUAGCCUAAACAACUUUAGAGAGGGAGGGUAAAAAGCAAGGGAAACUAAAAAGCAAAAAUCUAUCAACUUGGCUUGCUACGGUUUCGGCUGCCAUGAAACGCAUCACAGAACUAUACUUGUUUUGCGACGAGUGUUAGGCGGGCUUGACCUUUUACAUGGUAAUGACCUUAGUCUCUUCUUCUUGUUCAAAGAGGAGCCUUCACUCUGAGAUCCCAAUAUAGCAGCAAUCAUUUUCGACCCUCUCGAACCUGGCAUGUUCUUCUUAACGUACCUCAUGGCUGCUUUUCUUUCAGAAUCUUCCACACCCUUAUUCAAUGGGCUUCCAGAUGUUGAGCACUUUUCUGUCUUCAGAUGAUCAACUGGGAUUCGGUAUUGUGGUUCUAAACAAAGUACAAAAAAUUCCAAAUAUUAAAUAUAGUCCAACCAGCCAAAUAUUAAACAGAAAACAUAUAGAGAUUAAAACAAGAUUUUACCUGGAGUACGGAAGACAUUAUCGGGGCUGGGAGAUCUCACUGGCGAUAGAGGAUGAAAACCAUCAAUACUUUCAUCUUCAUCAUUCAAACAGAGAUCCUUAGUUACAAUGGGAGAAGACUUCAUUGUUGCACUCUCAACUAUAUUCAAGUUAGCAGAAGUAGCAUUUUCCAAAUCACUGACACCAGUAUCUUGAUUCUCCAUUUCACAGGAAAACCGAGCAGGACUUGGUUGCAAAGUAUCCGCAGGUGCAUUUGCAGAUUCGUGAUUGACUUUAGACUCAGCAGCAAAUGAAGAGCAACCAGUACCGAUAUUUUGCAAAACCGACUUGGGAGAUGGAUUUGAGGAAUCUGAAUUCAAGCAAGGAUCCGAUCGUUGAAUUAAACUUGAGAACCAUGAAGUCCCCUUCCUCUUAUAUAACAAAAUGUAGGCCUCACGUGACAGCACAUACUCUUCAGUGACUGAAGUAACCUGAAUAACAUCAAAACCAGAAAGUUUUUUUGCUUCAGUAAAAGCUUACCGCACUUCACUAAAUCAAUGGAGAAUCAGCAGCUCCAUCAAUAGAAAAAGCACAUAACAGAAUUCCAGUUAAGUUAUAUCAGCACCCUCUUGAGGAUUAAUUAUCCUCAAGACCAAAACGAGUGCAACAACACAUCAGAUCAAUAUAGUAACUCAAAAAUAAGUAAUUGCUACUAUAAUUUCAGAAAUGGUGAUAUGAGAUACCAAAAGGUUCUACUGAUAUACAACCAAAAGCAAGGGGCCAAAUGCAGGGAAAGAAGAAAACGUGAAACAAAUUACAACUGGGAAGGAGAAUAUGAUCACUAAUUUAGUCGUCGCCAUAUAUCUAGCACGCUGCUAAAUCCCAGCAGUAAGUUGAAAAACUAAACAAAAUUGAAAAAUACUUCAUAAAUGUUAUACCAAUGAGUCGUCCAUUCUGUGCCAUGUAUCAGGAGAGGAACGAACAAAGCUGAAGUAGUGCCCAGAAGUAGAGGAAAACCCUGUGUGUUCCACAAUGGCAUACAAUUCAUAUUUGAGUUCCACCUGUUAUCGUCAAAGGGAAAAGAGAGAGAACCUCAGUAAUGAACCUAAACCAAUUGUAGGGCAAAGCCAAAAACAAAAAAUAUUACAGAGCUCAAAUAUUCUACAUUUUCAAGAUACUGAUGACAAUUCUUGUACAAACUUUACACCAUGAGGUAAGAAAAGUUAGAUAUUACCUCUGCAUCCUUGCCUCCCAGGGUGUACGGCUUCAAAUCUAACUCUAAUGGAAACUCCAAGUGCUUUUCGAUUUUCUCAACAAAAGAACUAUCAGCCUUGAAUCUCUUUAAGUGGAAUGUAGUAACCAAAGGGAUUUUUUCCAGCUUAAGCUGCUUCUCCACCCACACCUCCUCUUUGCAGUUUUCACACUUAAAUUUUGUUUCUGGAUCGCCAAUUCUCUCCACCUUGGUGAAAGAUUCCAGAGCACUGGAAAGGGAGUCCACAUUCUCAAUCUCCAAACUCAAGUCAACCAAAGGCUCAUGGGUUUCGGAACAAUGGCCACAAUUACAGCAGCAAAGCUGAAUAUGACACAAAUUGUAAAAAACAAGACACUGAAGCUCAAUACUUAAAAACAAAACAGUAAAGAUCAUUUUCUUACAUUGCUUAUGAGACGACCACCAAACACCUUAUUCACUAGAUCAUCAUCCUCUGAAGAAACUCGAUCCUUUCCUUCUGAAACCAUGCAUCUUUCAAGUUUAUCCAAGAAGCACUGCAUGAACUCAUGGGCAUCUUCCUGCUGGUAUCUCCAGAAAAAGGAUGAGAAGUCUAAUGCUAACUUAAGAAUAACAACAGUACAGCAAAGUUCUCAAAAGAUCAAAUAAUAAAACAAAGUACAAAAACAACUGCAACCUCCGUAACACGCAAGACCAUUUGUAUCCAAGUACCAUUAAAGAAAACCAACUAAAAGCAUGUUUGGAUUGACUUUCUAAGUGUUUAAAUAAAAGUAUAAAAUAAAUGUUUACAAUCACUUAGAAAGUCAGUCCAAACAAAACCUAACACACUGUGGUUAUCUUAAUCUCAGAUUUGCUCAGAUCGAGAUGCAGCUUCUUUGAAGCAAAUACAAAAUUCCUAACAAGUUAUCAUCACAUCAUACAAGGUACAAAAGGCACUAAUUAAAAGAAUUUUUAAGAAAAAAAAAUAUGGUGGAAAAUGAAAUAUAGAAAAGGAUACAGUUCAAGUUAUCAACAAGUUUCACUGGUGAGAUAAUCCCACCCAGAGAAGUUAAGGAGAGCUCGAUAUGAUCUCGAAUUGCACAAAAGACACAAAAACCUUCACCUGUGGAUGCAAAUUCGUAAUUCUUCAUCAACUACUGAGUCAUUAGAACCUAGAAACAGAGAGAACGUAUUGGUAGUGACAGUGAUCUUACUGUUACAAGGCAUAUCAUGAUUAGCAGAUCGAAGACCCUCCACAAAUGGAGCAGUAUGAGUGAGGCACUGCAAGAUUGCGUUAAUAAAACAAGUAUUCCCCAAAUUUGCAAGUCCCGCACCCUACGAAUUCAGAACAUAACCAAAACCAAACCCCAAAAAGAUAAAUAAAUGGAAAAUAAUAUAUCAAUUGCAACCAAGUAUAAAGAACUAAUUGAAAAUUAAGCUCACCGCAGAUAGAGAUUCGGUUUCUUGAGCAGACACGGAAUUUUCUGGGAAAGCUUCCUCUGAAGUAGACCACUCCAAAGACGAUCCCGGCAGAGGAGGCAAUGCGUCGAGUCCAUCAGAAUCAGACGAAUAAGUUGAGAAUGGCGAAGACCCAGUAGGGUUUAUCGAAGAAGAACCCCAAGACUGAUUAGCAGAGGCAUCCAUAGGCGAAAAAGAAAAAUUGCCGUUACGGCAAGAGGAAGAAUGAAGUAGAGAUUGUUGAGUUAGGGCAUCUUCGGUAGUAGUCGAGUGCCAAGACCCGGCUUCAAUUCCCAACGGAGGAACCAAAAAUGGAUCAAGUUCUUGAGAAUCAACCAAAUGGGUAGCCAUUAGAGAGAAUAAAACAAGAUAAUUAGAGUGAAAAGAAGAGAAAAACAGAGGUGGGUAUUGGAGAAGCAGAUAGAAAAGAAAGGGGGAAGAAGGUUUUUGGAUGAAAUUGAAGAGGGGGAAUUGGAAAAGAGAGAGGGAAAACGAAAAAGAAUCGGAAAAGGGUUUUAAUAUAUGGAUUUGAAAAGGGAGGGAAAACUCAAAAACUCCCAAAAAUUGGUCCUUUCCGCUUCAGAACAAAAAAGGGGAAAACGAAAAAAAAAUGAGAGGGAAAGAGAAGAAAGAGACGCGGAAGACGAUAAUGGUGACUGUUUCAUUUUCGUUUUUUAAUUCCUUUUUAAACACUUUCUUAAUUUCACUCCAAAACUCAUUCUAUUUAGGGUUUAAAUUCACUCACUCCCAACAGCUUUCGAUUUUUAUUUUUAUUUUAAAUAUUCAAAAUUAGGGUUUCUAUUUUACUUAUAUUUAUUACAUUUCAACUCAUAUAAUUCUAUUUUUUAAACUAAAUUAAUUUAAGCAUUGACUUAAAUUUAACUUCAAACGUUGCAGGCAUUAAAUUGAAAAAUGUGAUGAUUUAGUGGUUUAGUAGAAAAUUUUGUUGUUUCUCCUAACAUUUUGCCUAUAAUGAAGAAUCAAACCUCUAAUUUCAAGACUUGAUAUUAUUCAGACUUCAUGAAUCAACAAAUUAACUUUGUUUAAAACCAUUUUCUAAACUCCAUAGACUAAAUAAAUGUGUUUAUAUAAAAUUAACCAACCAUAGAAUGCAUAGGCUAAAUUCAAAAAUUCAAUGAAAAAGAAGUAACAUAAGAGAAUUAUGUAUUAGUUCUUUAAAUAUAGCACUCAAAUUAUUACUGAAACACAUACAAUAACCUCACAACUAUAACCAAAACUCAAUACAAAUUCAGGUCCUAAGCUCUUGUGAGAUAGGAAUGCCAAAUUUUGGUGGAGAAAAUACGGUAUGUAUUGUUUUGUUUGCUACAAAAAAAAAAAAAAAAAAGUAGAACUAAAGCACAUGUUCACUGCAGCAGCUAGAAAAACAAAAGAACCACCAGCGAAUGUUCAAGUCCUGUGUAAAAGGGUUGCUUUUUGAAAGAAUCUUUAUACUGAAAUUUCUUUACAUUCCUCAGUAAUAAAAUCCGCUGGUAAUAAAAAAAAACGUAUCGAGUUCGAGCCAAAUUCUACAAUGAAAAGGAACACUUGAAAAUAAUCAAAUGAUUCUGUCUUGAAGAUCUGUAAUUAAUGUAGAUGCCAAGGAGCUUAGCUUCUUCCCUGUUUCUCCUGCAAUGUUCUUGAGAGAAGAAAGAUCCUGCUGUGCCUGGACAAAAGUAAAUGAAUGUAUCACAUAUAUGUAAUACAAUGCUAAGGAAAUCAUGAACCCAAGCACAAUUGCACAGUUUAACAAGGAUUAGUAUAGAACCUGAAUAGAAAGCCGGUUAAUAAACUCAGUUGCAGUAAGAUCGGCAGAAGGAUUAUCUCGCUGGUUACCAAAUAGAUCGGCACUAGAGAUGGAAGCUGAGCCCUGCGAAUAGAAGGAUGGCAAGUAAGGGGAAUGAAAGCACUAUGAUUUAAUUUAAACAGUCAGACAUAUCAGCAAUAUAAAGAACGGUUUCCAUCCAAUCUGUGGAAAGUAUUAACUAAUAUAGCGCUUAUCAUUCAGUACCAAAAGUUGAAAAUGCAGUCCCAAAGCCUCAUCAUAAAAACAGAAACGGACCGAACACAGUGUUUUUCCCUUUUUUCUUUAAUACAUUUUAUGGUUUAUGGUUCUUUUUUGAUUGAGCUUUUACUUACCUUCAUCUAGAGAGGGUUUUUUCUCGUAACAUGUACCAAAUGUGUCCAAAACACAUACUUAACAUGUCAGGAAAUUAUAUAUAGCGUAAACUAUAAAUCCUUGAUAAGGAAAGAAUCAGAAUAUAGAACUUCCUUUUUUUAAAUGAAAACGACAACUUUCAUUGAGAAACAAUAAAAGAAUACAAGGGCACAAAAAAAACCAGGCCACAAAACCACCCCAUUAAAGAAAGAGGGACCAACUAAAUAAAAUGUUUGUCUAUAGAAUAUUUACAAAAGUUCUUCGAAACCGAAGCCCAAAGAAACACGUGAUAUCUAAUCAAAGACCAAAUCAGAAUAUAACACAUAAAAGAGUUCCUGCUCUAUCAUGAAGGAUUGAAUAGUCAAAUGGUAAGAGGUCUGUAUAAAUAGCAUAACUAGAAAAGUAUGGACAACAAUUUCCACUUAAUUAACGAUAAAGGCAAAGGUACAAACCGAGAAUUUUUGGAGGGAGGCCUGAGCAUCAGCAUCAGCUCUGUUCUGAUCACCAAAGUAUUGGGCUGAUGAUAUAGAUUUGGCAUUGGAAAAUUUCUUCCUUGCUUCGUCACUUUCUUCAAUCUAACAUCAAUCAUGUUGUUAGAACAGAGAUCAAAAGAGGUAGAGACAUUGAUAUGAUGGACCCAUGUGCGCAACCAGCAAAAAUACUCUUUAUGCUUGCCAUUACUUAAGAAAUAAGAUUUUUAUUUAUAGGAAUUUUGAUGGGUUCUUUUCAGAUAUGUGCAGGUUUGUGACCCUCGUGUAUACAAAAGAGAAUAAAAUGUAGAAAAUGAUAGAAAAAAUACAGAAACUACAAGUAGCACCAGAGUAGAACAUAGAAGAACACCAUCCACUGCUACGUAAAAUUGCAAAGGGAUGUUCACAAAAUUUAUUCAAAGCAAGAAACUUCCCCAGAAAACCCAUUUCUACAAUACUUGUUUAGAGUAAUUCAUUUUUUGAGUACCAAAAGUAUACUCAAUCAAGAACACUUCAUACUCAGACACCAAACCGCCCAAUUACAUUUAAAUAAACCAAAAGAUGCAAAAAGCUAUUUACUGAUGUAUAAAGACAUACCAAAUAAUUAUCUAAGACUAAGGAUAAUCAUCGUUAUGGAACAAUGGUCGGGUGACAAAUAUUAAUAUAAUUAGAUUAUUCUUAGGAGAUAUUAUUCUGGAGAUAUUAUUCUGGAGAUAUUAUUUGAUAUUAUUUCCUUAAGUGUAUUUCUCUAUGGUUAUAUAUAGGCUUGUAUCUCUAUUAAGUAAUGAAUGAAAUAUAGAUUAAUUCCAUAAAAUCAACAUGGUAUCAGAGCUCUAGGGUUUUCGCCUUAUUGAAUUCUAGCCUCCACAUCCCGUUUGAUCUCUGCCUCCGUUGAUCAUUCAUCAACGGAGGCAGAAUCAUCUCCCAUUAGCUGAAGCCGCCCCUUAGAUCUGCAAAUUUGCCGUUGUCGUUGCACCUUCCCUUUGUCACUCAUUGCUGUUCAAAUCUGCCACCAUCCAAACCCCAGAAACCCCAUUCGUUUUUCACUAGCGUCUGCGGCGGCCAUCUCCUUCAUAGUUCUUCGUCCGACCUCUUGUUUUUCCGUUAGCCAAGCAACCGAUUGAACCUCUGUCAGUUGAAGCCGAACGCCCAGCCGAAGAGUUUCAGUUUUUUCCGUCGUCCAAGAAGCUCCGCUCGCCGCUGCGUUUCGUUGCCGUUGCUCCAUCUCCUUACGCUGUCCCAACAAAACCAUGAAACCCCAUGAAACCCCAUGUCCUCAUAUCCUCACGUCUGCCUCCAAUCUGUUCCAGAUCUGUCUAAUUUCGUUCAGACCCAUCCUUCAUGUCUGCCUUCAAAGUUUAGAUCGAAGCCCAGAUCCAACGACGCCUCGUUUCUGUUUUUGUUCAGAUCCGCUAAGCCUCUCUGCUCCAUUCAGUUCAGCUCCCGUUCUGUUCUCCCCAGAUUUCCCGUUUAAUCUGAUUCUGACUUGCUCUAGUUUAGUUCGUUCUGUUCCACUUUGAUCCGACAAAACACUUCUGUCCAAUUCCGACCCUGUUUUCGUCCAGCUUUGAUUCUACUUUGCUUCAGUUUUGCUCUUUCAUUUUGCCCCCCGAAGUUCUUGUUUCGUUCUUCCUAGGUUCUGUUAUAGAUCUCUAUACGAGGAUCUAUGUUUCUAUCCCGGAAGUUUUUCGUGGGUUUGUUUUAACCUAGAAGUUCUUUGUCUGUUUGUUCUUCGGGUUUUUUAUUCUAUUCUAGAUAUAUUGUUUCUUUUCUUAGUUCUUAGCAAACUCAAGUUUGUGAUUUCAACCUUGAAUUUGAGGGAGGGUAUUAAUAUAAUUAGAUUAUUCUUAGGAGAUAUUAUUCUGGAGAUAUUAUUUGAUAUUAUUUCCUUAAGUGUAUUUCUCUAUGGUUAUAUAUAGGCUUGUAUCUCUAUUAAGUAAUGAAUGAAAUAUAGAUUAAUUCCAUAAAAUCAACGUUCGGGUGACAAAAGCAAUGAGCUUCGGAUUUACAGCCUACAUUAGACAAUUCCUCACAUUUCUUUUCAAGGCUGAUUCAGAGAAGCAUGCCAAAAUCAUUGAAAAAUCAGAAGUACAAUGUCUAACCUGCACUUUUGAGGAACUGGAACUGCCCUUCUUUGGAAAACCACCAUCCAUUCCAAAUUCAGCAAAGAAGCCCGAUGCCUUUGGGGGAGCUACAUGGCUAAGUACAUGAGAGCCACUAGAAUUCACAUCAGAUGAUUGGACAUUUUCUACAUAUUCAAAGCGAGAUGCAAAAGAUGAACCAGUUGCAGCAGUUUUGGGUGCUGUUGAAGAUGAAACUGGAACUGUAGGUUCUUCAGGUUUCUGAUCAUAUAGAUUUUCACUUGGCUGCAUGGAGUAAUGCAAAUUAUAAAGUCAUGGAAAAUGUAUUUCAAAAUCUAUAUUUAAUUGAGGUCAAGAGAAAUUUCGAACACUAAUACAUGAGCAAUAUAAGGCCACUUCACAUUGGUAGAAUGCAUUAUUAUUAUUACCUUUGUAGUAAGCUUUCGAGCACCAAGUCCCCCAGUCUUCCCUGGUUUCUUCCCACCAAUGGGCUUCUUAACAGUACUUGAGAAUACCGUCUGAGAAGCUUUUGGUGAAGCAGAAAUUUCUGGAGCCUCUUGCUUUCCUGAGACAUGGUCCUUUGCAGUUUCAUUAGUUUUGAUAUCAGGAGGUCCAUUUGUUACUAGGUCUGACUGAGAAGUAACUGGGGAAGAUGGCAAUGCCGGCUCUUCUGCCAUACUUUUAGCAACUUCUUUCGAAAGUAAUUGCCUAUACAACUCAGCAGCUCUAGAUGUAUAUUUGGCCUCAAUUUUGCCUCCAUCCGUCCAUCCAUGCUGCUUAAAGAAAACCUGUGCUCGGUUAUUCCCUCCAAAGCUCAUUGUUUUAAGCUGCUCCACACUCCAAGAAUCUAAAUUUGUGGACCUACGUAAAUUGAAAAAACAUAAGAACAUUCAAUACUAACCAUCAUAAGGGGAAUUGUACCUUAAGAGACUUCUCAAAAUAAUUACAGGUCAUAACCUUUGAUCGAUUUGAAAUUCUAACUAGCAUGUUAAGCAAACCAACAGGACAAGCAAAGAAAUAAGAGAUAAAGUGCCCUGAGAAUUUUCCAGAAGGCAACUAACAGUUAGGUACAUAUAUGUAGUCCUUUCUCUAAGGCCACAGAUUUUACCUCAUUGGUGAGUAUAGAAGUAAAAAAUGUCAUUUAAUAAUUUACACCAAGAUUACUUUAAAUGCCCAAAAAAGAAUGCUUUGAUUCCCUCCGUUCAUGCAAUGAUGUAACUAGUCUUUUCAAAUUCCACUUGAGUACAACUACUUCUCACUGAUAUUUGCUUCAUUUAAUUUAAUCAUAAACUAUUCACUAUAGUUCUAGAAAACAUUGAACCUUUACUUUACUAUAAAAGAAAAAACCUUUUAUUAGAACCCUUUGGGUAAAACUUUCACUGUUUUUUUUAUUUUAAUGGAAAUAACUAGAUCUACAGAAACAUCACGUUAUACAUAAGGCAGAAGGACAGAGGAUCAUUCACAGCCUCAGGUUGGGGAGAGCACAAGAUACUUAUCCAAAGUCUCUAUCUUUCAUUAAGAAAAGAAAAGAAAAGAAGAAAAAGAAAUUGUAUACUGCAUAACUUUCCUGUAUAGAUAAAUAAUCAGUGCAGUGCAAGCCAAACCUCGUUCUCAUACAUACAGAUAUGUGUGCAUGUACACUAUCACAAUGACUAACAGAUCUAAAAAUGUAGUUCUUUGUGAUAUUUUAUAAUUACACUUUUUUAAUCUUCUCGACUAAGAUUGUAAAGACGACACACCAGACUUCCAUUCUUCUGACUGAAAAGAAACUACUAAAAGCUCAAGUGCAUGGUAAAAAUUGGUUAUUAACAUCAAUAACCUUUUGAUAAUGAUUCGAACUUACCUUUCUAUUUAUGAAAACUAUGUUUUCUUCCUCACAAUUUAUUUACAAUGGUUUCCGCUCUUAUAAGAAACAUUUGAGUUCUUAGUUUAAGUUCCAAAAAAGUGUUAUUGCACAAUAAAGCGCAUUAGUCUUCUGAAGCUUAAGCGCAAGGCGCAUUGUGAGACGCACUAUAUAUAAAAGUACUAUAUUAAGAAAAAGAAGCAUGGUUGAAGUGAAAAUAUGUAAAAACAGACGUUUAAACACAAGAAAAUUUUCAUUUGUGCUUAGUAAAUUUGAUUUUUUUAGUUAAUAAAGGAAAAACACUAAUUAUUUAUAUUUAAAAUAAAAACCCAUGGCACAGGCCUUUGAGCUUCAGGCGUGCCUUAAUUUGUGAGCCUCUCCUUUUCAAGACGAAGCACAAGGCCUGCACUUUCAGCCUAGGCGCACACCCAGGAGGAUUUUUUAAAACACUAGUUCCAAAAAUAAAAACUAUUACCAAAAAGAAAAAUCUACAUUUUUAAGUUUUGAAAACUUGGCUUAGAUUUUAAAGAAAAAAAAAAUGAUGGAAGUAGAUAGCAAAAGAAAGAAACUCCAUAACUGGAAGUAGUAUUUGUAAGCUUAAUUUUCAAAACUCAAAAAAACAAAAACCCGUCAUUAAACAAGGUCUACACUACUAUUGUAUUUACAAAUGCACGUUUACUUGAUUUUCAAAUAAUUUACAUCACUUUUCAUGAGUCUAGUUUGAGGAUUCUAGAAAAUAAUCUAUAAGCAUCUACAAACUACGACCCAGACAUACUGAGAUACAAGGUUAAAAGAAUUUACAUGAACCCAUCAAACAUAAGUGCAUGUUAGAGCGCAAAACAUGGCUAACAAGUAGGAGGACGGGGUUUAACAUAAAUAACUAAACAUAUAGAAGAGGCGUGAGAAUAAGACACUAUCAACACAAUGCACUUCCAAAAACUACACAUACCCAAUCAGGAAAAGAAACAUAUAAGAAAGAACUCAAUGAAGGUCAAAUUAGAGCCACAAAUCAAAACCAGCAGGCAUCAAAAUCAAAAACCCAAAUAGAAAAAUCACCUGACAAAGCUAACAUGGACACCAAGGCUGCGAUGCACAGCAGAACAAUCAAUACAGAGGAAGAUCCCAUAUGUAACAGAAGCCCAAGUCGGAUUCUUGGCAUUGCAAUCAAAGCACAUCUGAAAAAAAAAACAAAAACAACAAUAAUAACCACAACCAACGAAGUGGGUCUGUUCCAUUUCAACAGGGGAUUGAAGAUCUCGACAUGAAACACACAGAUCGGAAAGAGGAAACACAAUAUCAAGAUGAAAUUGAAUGGAAUUCGAAUAAUACCUUGUUAUCGGACUUGGCUUUGAGUUUUCUAAAGACGAGGUUCUUGUCGGAAAAGCUGUCGAACGCCAUUGGAAAGGGAAACGAAGAGAAAAAUCCCCAAGGGGGUGUGCUUGAACGAACACCACCUUUGGGAAAUUGAAGACGAAGAUCGGUCAAGAAGAAGAAGAUCGGACUGAAACUCCAGAAAUCGCUUCCUUUGGUUUUUUAAUUCGAAAGAAAAUUCUUAACCGAAUUGACCAAAACAACCUUCUAUGUUUCUUCAAAGAACUGCCAGGAUGAGUCCAAGCUUUGAGCACUACAUAAGGGUACUUUCGUCAUUUUGAAGAAUCGAUUUUUAAAAAAAAUUAGGUCACAUUGUUCAAAAUAUCUCUCCAUCAAUGGUUACAACUUCUUUGCUUCUACUCCAUCUUUAAAAGUUAAUUUGAAUAUACUUUGAAUACUAUAAAAGGGUUUCUUACCUUUUCUUUUUUCCUUUUAACUUUUUCUUUUCAUGAAUUUGCUUUAAUGAGAUUAACGAUGUUUGAGUAUAUAGUUAGAUUGAUAGUUAUAUAUAUCGAUACUGCAUAGAGUUUUAAGACUCGUUCUAUUCCUUUUACUAAUCAACUUCAAUUUAGUGAAACUAUAAUCGAGAACACGUUCAACUUUUAUUUUACUUCUUAUAUUAACUCCAAUAUUAUAUUUUUAACCUAGAUCAUAAUCGUUAUGCCAACUGGUGAGACAAACUAGAUGUUCCUCAUACCAAAUCACAGUGGAUGACACUCUCAAUGUCAACUCAACUUUUAAAGUCACAACGAUAUUAGUAAUCACGGUACUAAUUUUGUGGAACCUCAAAUAUCAUUAACGAGUUGACAAUAAGCUAGUAUUGGAUAGUUGAAGUGGUCAAUACGUACGUUGAUACCUAGAUUGUUAUAAAAUCAAAGCAACUCGUUUAAACAUAAAAUGAGAAGUGCCACACGUACUUAUUAAUACUUGGCAUGAAAAUUGCUUGAGAAUUAGAGUUGUUUAGGCAAGCACUACCAUAUGUGCAAUUUAUUUUGCAUGAAAGCAUUAAGUAGUUAUUCUCUUAUCUUUUCGCAAAAUAUCAUUCAACAUUUACUUGAAAUUUGUUAAACUUGACAGUCUCGUAUUAAUGUUAUUCGUGAACUAAGACCAAGAAGAUUAAUUAGACACGAUAAGCUAGCUAAGACAGAGUUUAUGAAGUACAUUAUUCAUUUGUUUAUGUUAGAAAAUAUCUUAGGGUUGUAUUAAUUGCACUUAAACUUCAAUUAUGAUCAAUCUUGCUUUAAACUACAGUGUCAUUCAAUUUGAAGUAAAACUACAUCAAAUGAACUUAAGUAGCAAUAAAUGAACUUAACUAUACAUCUUGAGUUUUACUUGGUAUGGAGUGAUACGAGAAUUGAGUAUGAACACAGUUUUUUGUUACUUUUGACAUUGAUCUUCAAGGUAAAUUAAUUUCUAUAUUCUUUCUUCUAGUGUAAUCGUUUUUAUUUCCAGAUUUACCAUAUGCAAUUUAGAAGUUUACAUAUCUUCAAAGGCGUGUUUUCCCCAAUGACUAAGAAGUAUGAGUUGGAAAAAGACGAGUGUCGUUAAGUUCACUCUUCUACUAGCCCAAUGUAUGUUUAAAUUUAUUGGAGGCUCUAUUACUAAACAACUCCUCGUACUAAUUAAUUUCAUUACUUAUCUCAAAUGUAUCUUAAAAGUUAUUGAAUCAAAUUACCUAAAGUUUUCUUAUCAGCCUCUUUUUUCAUUUAAAGAGUGUUUGGUCCACCAACUUUAUAAAUUGAUAUUAAAAUAACUCAACUUCACCAGAAAGUAAAGUUCAUUUCACUCGAAUCCAUAUUGUUUUAAUCAAUGUCAUGGAUCGAAUUUGAAUAUUUUAAAAAACAAAAAUGAAACAAAAAGAAUGUGUUAUUUAAAGCAUAAAUUAAUGGAACUAUAUUUAUAGUAUAAUUUUGGAAUAUGUUUAAUAUUUCUUAAUAAUAUAAUUUUUUUUGUUUUGCUAUUGUUAGGAAGGAAAAUGGUAUCUAUUCUUUUAAAAAAAAAUUAUUCUAUUUUUCAUGAAAUAUUUACUCUUUCAUACAAAAAAAAAUCAAAUAUAAAUAGUUUGAAAAUUGUUCUAUUUUUUAAAAAACGUCUUUAAAUUUCAGUCCUUUUCUCACAAUUUUUAUUAUGAAAGGAUUUUAUACAAAACUUCCUAUAUAAUUGGCAAUAUAAUUCAAAUCUUUAUAAAAAUAAUUAAAAAGAAAGAAAGAAAAAAAAACUCUCUCCCCAAUUGGGCUCGGGCCUUUUUUGCUUGGAUGCUCUUGGGCUUAUGAAUCAAUGUGGGCAUCAUCAUCAUAUUGGCCUUUGACAAGGUUGAUUUUCCACAAAUAUCAACUACUUAAUCAAAUGAAGCAAUCUAUAUGGUAUAUGCUAUAAAGUAUUAAAAUGGAGAAUAAGCCAUAUUUUCUAUUUUUCCUUUUACCUUUACAAUUUUGUACAACGGUAGUAAAUUUUUCACUUGGGUUAAUUAGUCGAAUUUUCGUGACUUGGGUCGAGUAUGUGUUGGAGAGAAGAUGAUAUAUUUUGAUUAUAUUUUUUUAGAAUAAUUUUUAUUUAGAUUUUAUUCUUGGUAGAAAGGGGAAGAAUGAUAAAUAUGGAUAGCAUUUUGAAGUAUUCCUAGGACAUUACGAUAAUAAUUUAUUCCUUAGUUUUUUCUAUAAAGAGGGUUAUAAGGGGGAUAAUUUUUAUAUACAUAUUUUAUCCUUUUAUUGUUAGUAAAUUCUCACGCCACACUUUAUUGACUGAGUUAGCCUACCCCUUUUUAAGUGUACCUGUCUAUUCCGAACAAAAAUAUCAUUUAUUAAAAUGUAAUAUUGUAUUAAACUUUUUCAUACAUUUUAUGGAGAUUAAAACAACUCCAAACCUUUUACAUUCAACUUUUUUAUUUUCACCUAAAGUCUUCAAAAAAAAAAAAAGAAACUAGUACUCUAGAAUAUAAGAUAAUUUGAACUCUAUACUCAUAGUUAUUUCCUAUAAAUAAGGUGAAAAAAAUACGUUAAUACUAAUUUUGAAUUGUAUCAAAUACAACCAAAAACGAAUGUGAAAGUACAUCCACAAUAUGAUAAUAAUAUCAAAGUGGACAUAUAUACUUCAACGAAAAUACAAAUACACAAUCGAGAAAUAAGUGAUUCAAAUUCUUUUAUACAUUACUGUAGAAAAACAAAGAUUGUCGUGUUCGUUGGCCGGUGACAAAAAUGAAAACAAAAACCAUAGUGAAAGUACUUAAAGGUCUCGUGAGAUAAAGGUCGAGGGUAAAAUGGACGGCUCCCAAUUGAGAUAACAUGAGGAAGUAGACACCCAAAGACAGCCCUCCACGUGGACUAACUGUUGCAUUGGUGGCCGAUGAUGUGGACUGUACGGUAUGUGUGACGUGGACAAGUGAAAUUCGGUCCCACCCCUCCACUACCCCUUUUUUAAUUCACACGUUUUUCUUUCCCUCUAUUUCUCCCCUCUGGGACCCACUUUUAUUUAUAUAUUUAUAUAAUUAAAAGUUAUUCUAAAAAAAACAAAAUUUAUUAAAACGUUGAUUUUUUUAGGAAGAGUAAAUAUUUUUAUCAAAUUCUUUAUAGUCUCCUUAAAAUUUUUGCUAUAUUUUGUAAUUUUAAAAUUAAUUUAUAAAAUAAUAAAAUUCAUCAAACUCUUUUAUCUUAUUUAAAAAUUUUAUUUAUUUUAUAAAUAGUUUUAAUUUCUUUUAAUUAUUUGUAAUAAUUUUCCUUUAUUUUAUUCUCACCUUUUAUUUUUUAUAAUUCAAUAGAAUGGAUAAGCUUGGUUGAACAUUACACGUAAAGUUAGCAUAAUCUACGGAUUUAUUUACCUUUUUUAAAAGAAAAUAAAUAUCAUUCAAAUGUCAAUACAUAUAAUUGAACAAAAGAUCGAUCAGCUGAUUUUAGAUUUUUUCAUGUUGUUGAGCUACAAAAUUUCAUGAAACAAUCAAUUUAUUUUAUUAUGUUUAUUAACUACUAAUUUAUGUUUUGUUUAUAUAUGUUUUUUAUAUCCACUUUUUGCCAUUGUUAUUCUUAAGAUCUAUAUAAAGUUUGAUAACAUGAAAGAAAAAUGCAUUUUGAUUUUUUAGAAAUAUAAAUAUUAUUGAUCAAAAGUGAAAACCUUGAUUUAAGUGUUAAGAAGGGGAUUUUUUUCAAAAUUGACGGUAAUUACGAGUUAAUUUUCAAUUCACUUAUAAAAAGAUUUCAUAAUUGUCACAUCCCUAAAAGUUAGUCUAAAAGGCUAUGAAACUUGAAGACUCGAUUGAGAGAUAGGGAUUAAAUAAAAUUGUAUGUUGACUACCGACCAUAAAUCUUGAGGAUAAUUGUGCAAAGGGGAAUGUAUUAUCUCUUUAUAUCAUUUUGUAUAGAUGAUCUAAGUUGAAUUUUGACGUAGGGUUUAUGUCAGAGUGCAUAUUUUACCUUCUUAAACAAUCACAUUAAACUUUUUGAAAGUUAAUUACGUUUUAGGUUACACAUGGUGAUGUUAACGACUCAAAAUGAUCAAUAUAAUUAAUAUAAAAAUAGAUUUUUUUUUUUUUUUUUGGUUAUGCAUAGAAAUGAAAAUAUACAUUUAGAAAUUUACUUGAGAAAACUAAAAAAACAAUUGCGAGAGAAAGAAAAAGUAGAGUUGAAGCGUUUAAUUUUCUAAAAUCAAAAUGUUAUCAAACAUGGGUUCAAUAUUUUCAAAUUGCAAAUAUAAUCCUAGUCAUUCAAAUAAUUUCAAAGGUUAAGGUUUAGAAUAUAUUUUCUAAAAACAAAAUGAUUAUUAAAUGUGACCUAAAAAACAUAAUGAUUAUAAAACACAAUCGAGACUUUGAGAGUUCAAUUGAGGGACGGUGGGUUAAUCAUGAGAGGGGAAGGAUUAGGUCAUACUCUCAUUUCGUUUUAGGUCACGACAUGUCAGAAUAGUACUAUUGAAUAUUGGUUCGCAACAAAGACUUUUGGAUCGUGAAAAUAUAUUCCACCAUUGGUUAAAUUUUAUUUGUUGAUUAAAACAAAAUAAGAAAUUUUAGGGAGAAAAAUGUGAUUCAUGCAAAUCUAAAAUCUGACCUAAUUUUUAUUCUUUUCUUCAUUCAUUUCUUGACAUUAUGAGAAAAACCUACCAAAACAAAAAAGAAAAUGUUUGUUGAUUUUCCCCCUUAUUUUAGACUACAUUUUGUGAAAUAAAAAUAUUCAAUUUUUUUUUUUCUUUUUAACAAUUAGUUGCCAAUAAUUCAAAUCACAUUUUCCACUUCCAAUGUUGUACAUAUUUUCCCCCUAAUUUCUACACCCAUAACUUUAUUGUAAGGAAAAGUACUUUUGACUAUAUAUUUAUUUAAAUGUAUAGCAAAAUGGUUGGAUGAUUUGAAUGUGUGCUUUUGAUACAAUUAAUAAGAAACACAAUCACAAAUUAACUUUAUCUAUUUUUACUUAAUUAAUUUCCUUUCUAAGUUUUUAAUUUCCUUUUUAAGUUUUUUAAAAGUUUAAAAUAUAAUUUAUUAAAGAACAAGUUUGGAGGGAGUUAAGUUUAAAGAUCAAAGUCUAAUAUAUAUUCGUAAUAGAAAAUCAAAAAGUUUAAAGACUUAUUAGACACAAAAAUGAUCAAAGGUCACAGAACGACAACUAUUCGACAGUUUUUAAAGUUCACAUAGAUAUUAAACAUUAUCGACUUGUCGACAUCUCGAUUCUUUAUUCCAAAUAUCGUAAAAAAGAAGAUAUUAAACAUUACCGACUUGUCGACAUCUCGAUUCUUUAUUCCAAAUAUCGUAAAAAAGAAAAUUACGAGAGAAAAAGUGGAUAGAAGAGUACUUACAACCACAAUUUUAUUAUUAUUUAGAAGCAUUUAUGUUUGAAUGAGUGGGGGCAGAGUCAAAUUUUGUAAUCAAUUGGUUCACACUUUUGAGUAUUGAAUAUGUAAAAAAAAUGAGAAAAAAAUAAACAAAUAAUCUACUCUACUUUUUAGCUACCGACAUUUCAAUUAAAAUUAUUUAUGCCACUAUUUUUUUAGCAUAUGAUCAUGCUUUAUUAUAUACAUCAAAAUUAAUUCUUUAAUUUUAGUAUAUAUAUAUACACAUCAAAUAAAUACACCAUAAUUAUUAUUAUUAUUGAUAUGUAUUAUUGACUAUGUUUAACUAUUUCAAACUUUGAUUUAAAUUCAAUGUACAAUUGAAUAAUAAUAUAUACAAUGAAUGCUUAAUUUUCCUUUUUUUUUUUAAUAAUAUAUCUUCAAACAAAUAAAAUUAAUUUCAAUCAAAAUUGAUAUUAAGUUUAAUAACGUUAUGUCACAACAUUACAUGUGAAUAAGUAAAUCAUACAGAUAUAUCUACAUCAUUAUAACAUCUUCCAACCCAAUGUAGCAUAAUAUAAAAUUUAAUAAAUGAUUAAGCUCAAAGUAUUUAAACAAUUUAUAAUAGAUUUUCAAAAAAUUUAUUUCGUAUAAAUAGAUUAUAGAUUUUAGAAAUGUUUAAUAAAUAUUUUAGAUUUCUAUUUAUGAUUAAUAACUUAUAAUGUAUUUUUAUUAUUUUUAAAAUUGGUGAUCUAACUGAUACAAACAAUGAAUUAAAUAUUUUUCUAAAAUAUAUUUGUAGAUACAGUAAGGAAAUUUACUAAUGUUGAUAUCAUUAAAACUAUUUUUUAAUAUUACAAUUAUAGAGGUGAGGAAUUAGAUAAACUAUAUAUGAAAUAAUGAUCAGUGACGAUAUAUACAUUAAGAUUUUGGCCAUUAAAGUAAUUUCUAGAAGUGUUUGAUAGAAUUUUUCAACUUUUGUGUAUAGUAUAUAUUUUCUAAAACUUUUCCAACAUGAAAUUCUUUGUUCUUUUUAACCCAUAUAUAGAGAAUUUAGCUUUUGAGUGAUUUGACUUGAUGUGUGUAUAGUAGCUACGACUAAAACAUUAUCUCUAAAUUUAUUUCUUCAUCUUUUAUAGUUUACACUUUGUACGUGUCAUGUGCAACUUCCAUUGUUACCACUUAUAUUCAACAUAUUGUAAUAAUUAUUAUUAUUUUUCAUUUGUAUGGCUUUGUAGCAAACAUAAAAACUAUAAGUUAAAAUGAGAGAAAUAACUUAAGAUACUUAUAACUAAUCUAUUGGAAUUCAAAUACACAUUAAAGUUUUAUUUCAAAACAAGGAAGUGAACAUAAUUUUUCAAUUUCUAGUAGUAUCUUCCAUUCAAUUUUUUGAAAAUAAUUAUAUGACAUAUAAAAUAAUUAAAAGAAAACAGUUUUAUACCUAACAUGAUUUUUAAAAACGAGAAUAGUUAGGAAUAACAUAAAGAAAAUAAAAAUCUUUUACAAAGAUGAAUUUUACUAUAUAUUUUAAAAUAAUUUAAAUAAUUUGAAAUAAUUAUUGUAAUUUAAAAUAAAAUAUAAUUAUUUAAAAUAAAAGCAUAAAUUUAUUUUUUAAAAACACCAAUAAACAAUCAAAAAAGGUAGAUAGAGAAAUAUAGAAAUCUCCAAAACAUUUGAAAAAAUUGGUGAUUUAAAAAAAAAGUAAUAUUCUAAAAAAGAAAAAACAAAUAUCAAAUAGUCUAAACUCACGAACAUCACUUCUUAAAAAAAACAAAAAAAAAAAAAAAAAAGGAAAAGAGGAAAAGAGGAAAAGAAAAGAAAUAGUAAAAUUGAAAAAUAGAAAAUGGAAUUGAAUGGCGUUGGUUAUUUUCACGUGGGAAAAUGGAAAAUACGCAUGAUGCGACAUAAAGCUAAAACCCAAAAUAUAUUAAAAAGAAAUAAAAACUAAUAAUACAAAAUAUAAUUCUUUUCUAUAAGAAAAAAAUAAACAAAAACAAAACGUCGUUCUCAUGCCACGUUUCCUCAAAAAAACGUGCUCAAUAUAGCUUUAAAUAAUUAACCCCUAAACAAAUUUAAUUAAAGAAAACUAAUCUCCAAAUCUCAGCCAUUGCUUCCUCCAUCUAACCCUCUGACCCCACUCUACCUCUUAAAUCCAACGCUUACCCUUCACCUCCUCCACACACCAAACUUAGAUUUUUUUCUUCUUUUUUUUUUAAAUUUUGUAGAAGCCGUGUGGUUAUUAUUUAUUUUUAUAAAAAUGAAAAAUAUGAAGAUAACGAGGAAAUGGGGUCCACGUGGAAGACGAUUUUUUGGACGCCGAGUUUUUGGAUUUGGUCUUCCUUCGCAUCUCCUUCCUCGAACCUCUCUUCACUCGAUAUUAUUCACUUCGCUUCAACCGUCCUCUUACGUGGAUUUAUCCCCCUUUUUUUUACUUUUACUAUUUUUUUCUCUACAACUUCGAGUUUUAAUAAUUAAAACUUUGAAAUUUGGUAGGCAGUAAUUUUCGAUGUUACUUCCAAAGUUAAAAACUAAUUCCCUCCGUAAGUAUUUCUUUAUUAUAAAUUAAUACAUUUUAAUUAUAUUAACUAAGUUUGGCUUAUUACCUUUCUUAUUCUCUUAUUCUCGUACCUACAUAAUUCAUUUUUAAUAUACUAUAAAAGAAAUUUAGGUCAAUGAUAAAAAAUAACAAAUUUAACAAAAUAUUUACAUCAAAAUUUCCAGUUUCUUUCCAUAAUACUUUAUAAAUUUAUAAAUUUUAUCAGUGAUAUCAUGAAUAGAAUUCAAAAUUCUGCCAUAUGCUAUAAAUAUUUUAAUUUAUUUUGCUAUUUUUAAAAAUAUCUAUAUUUUUAUGAUUUGAAUUCAAAUUUUAUUUUAAUUAUUUAAUAAAAGUUCAGAGUUUUCUUUAAUAAAAAGUUAAAUCAAUUAAAAUAAAAAAUGAAAUGUUUUCAAAUAUAUAAAAAUUGAAACUAUUUAGCAAAAUCUAUUAAAUUCUUUUUGCAAAAUGUUGGUUUUUUUUUUAAAAAAAUAAUUUCCAUUUUUUUUUCUAUCUAUCGGUAAGAAUUAUCGAUUAAAGUAUAAAAUCUUAUUUUAAUAAUAGAAAAAUUAAAGGAUAGUUUAUUAUUGUUUUUUUUUUCUUUUUUGAAUAAGUGAGACUAUUACUUUAUUUUGAGUAAAGUGGGAAAAUAAAUAUUUGAGCAGAAAAUUUGGUAACUUUCAAAAAAGCAUUUGUCCCCUUUUCUCUUUCUCAUAUUUUGGUGAUAUUUUGUUGUUUCUCUCUCUCUCUCUCACUCAUUCCUUAAUUAUUUUAUUGCAUAUUUUCAACGUAUUUUUAUAAAAUUGUAAUUUGAUGAUUUGAUUUUUUAAAUGAAAAAAAAAUUGUGCAAUUUUAAGAAUUGAUAUAGUUUAGAUUAAAGCAGUAAUGAAAAAAAGAUACUGAGAUGAAAACUCAAAUAAACCUGUUUGGUAUCAAUAAAGGUUGAGAUUGAGCUAGGAAUAUGACAUGCAUACAACCCACUUGCUUGAGGGGAGACAAAACUUUGGACCAAAUGUUCAAAUAUGACCUAAUUAAUUUGUACCUUGGUCGAGUCAUAGCCACCUUUAAUUAACUAAGACAUGUUAAACGCAUAGGAUAAUCCAUUAAGAAUGAGAAUAAACCUAAUCCGACUCUUUGAAGGCUUUAAUUAGUUACAAAUUCAAAGUGUGCCGUGAAGUUUAAAUCAUUUUUUUUUUGUACCUGCUUUGUUUCUUUCUUUUCUAUUUUUACAACAUCUGCUUUGGCUGCUUUAACAUUAACAAUAUACAAUAUACAAUUUUGUAUAAAAAAUUCCUACAGCGUUAUUAUUAUUUUUCUUAAAAUAAAUAUCAUUAUUGUAAAUUUUUAAAUUUGAGGCGUCAUAAAGUUAGUUUAUAUGUGAGAGGUAUCUUGUUGAAUUUUUUAAGUUUUUAAAAUUUUUUAUUCAAUAAAGUUCUAAAAUUUGCUCUAUUUUUUUUCUGUUUGGCAUCCAACUGUAGACAUACUUUUUCAAAAUUUUAACACUCGGUUUGGUAUUUGAAUUUAAUUAAAUAAAGCUAUACUCAACAAAAAAAUAUAUUGUUUUUUAAAGUAGUUAAUUAAGUUGGUUAAUACCAUAAAGUAAGCACAAAGCAAUAUGUGACAAAUAAGUGAUAAAUAAGUAAUUUGUCUUACGGGUAUUUGUGACAAAUAAGUUUAUAAGGAUAACUCAACCAUCUUAGACAACCUAUCAACAUCAACUUGCCUAAGGUGAAUGUUAAUAUUGAUUGUUAGGGGUGAGUGUCACUUGCCAUUGAAGUUGAUUAUCAAAGGUGAUUUUCAUUGCAGUUUAUCAUAUAAGCAGUAGUUGGAGUCUGAAAUUGAAGGUGGUUAUCGAAGUUGAUAAUCAAAAAGUGAUUUUCUCAAAGUUUGUAGUCAUAGCUUGGAAUUCAUCGUGUAAACGUGGUCAUCAAAGUUGGCUUUUUUUGGAGUUUCCUAUUGGAGAUAGUUACCAUAGCCCAAAAUUAGUUGUUGGAGGUGGUCACAUAAAGGUAUCUAGUCGUUAGGUCAGUUUGUCAUCGAAGGUGGUUGCCAGACCUUGAAAUCGAUCAUCAAAGUUGGUUAUCUGAGUGUGGUAAUGGUAAUUGAUCGUUGAAUCUAUUAGAAAAACUGGAGAGAGCUUCAUCAACCUAUAAAGUUAGUGGACCAAAGAGAACUCAAACUCAACUUAUAUUUUGAUGUGUUAACUCCCCUAAAAUAAAACAAACGAAACAAAAAAAAAAAAUCAUAAAGACAAAAAUGAAAAAAUGGAGUACCAUCAUUGUACUAAAAAAAUAUAUUUUAACAAAAGAAAAAAUCAAUGACUACAAAUAAAUUUUAAAACACUAGAUUUAAAAAAAAAAAUCAAAGAACAAAAAUAGAAGAUAUUUAUAUAUAUAUAUAUUUAAAAAAGAAAAUUAAUAGAUAUUAUAAUGAGGCUUAGUAUUUUCAAAAUCCUGUUUUAGGGCAAAAAAAAGAGGGGAAAAAUAAAACAACUUCCGUCUUUGAUUCACAAACAAGAGACGUGUCAUGUUCUCAUUAGCUAAAACCGGAAAAAAAGCGAUGAGUAAAAAAGUCAUAAAAACGGUUAACCCUCAACGCCUCUCAAGGGUUCUUCACGUGCCAGUCACGUGGAAGGAAGGGAAGCGAACCGGGUCUAAGAAAACCGCACUAUCUGGGGUAAGUACUAUUAGUAUAAUUGUACUAUAAGCGCGGAGUUGAGAAAGACGCCGGCUUUUUGAACGAUUUAAUCGGCGAUCUAAAGAAGAAGCCUCUUGGUUCCUUCUUCUCCUCUUCGCUUCUCUGUUAAAUGUUCAUCACAAAUAAAUCCCAUACCAAUCGCCCGACAUUUCUCUCACUCCACAAUCGGAGACCAAAGAUUAUUCCUUUUUUCCCAUUUCUAUUUCUUCCAAUCUCAAUCGCAUGACGGAUUAUCGUUUGUCGACGAUGAAUCUCUGGACUGACGAGAACGCGUCGGUUAUGGACGCUUUCAUGAAUUCCGAUCUGUCUUCCUACUGGGCUCCGUCAGCCGCCUCCUCUCACUCUCUUCACCACCCACCGCCACCUCAGUCCUCCGCCUCCACAUCCACUCCCCCGCCGGACGCACCUAAGUCCCUCCCCGUUUUCAAUCAGGAGACUCUGCAGCAGCGGCUCCAGGCGCUGAUCGACGGUGCUAGGGAGAGUUGGACUUAUGCGAUUUUCUGGCAGUCGUCUUAUGAUUAUUCUGGUGGGUCUGUUUUGGGGUGGGGUGAUGGGUAUUACAAAGGAGAGGAAGAUAAAGGAAAGGGAAAAGCGAAAAUGGUGUCGUCAGCGGCGGAGCAGGCUCACCGGAAGAAGGUUUUACGGGAGCUUAACUCUUUGAUUUCUGGCUCUGCCGCCGGACCUGACGAUGCGGUGGAUGAGGAGGUUACGGAUACGGAGUGGUUCUUUUUGGUUUCGAUGACUCAGUCGUUUGUUAAUGGUGUUGGGUUACCGAGUCAAGCGUUUUACCACUCGACGCCGAUUUGGGUCUCUGGUGCCGAUCGGCUGUCGGCGUCUGCCUGUGAACGAGCUAGACAGGGGAGGGUUUUUGGGUUACAGACGAUGGUCUGUAUUCCAUCGCCUAACGGUGUUGUGGAAAUGGGUUCGACGGAAUUGAUUCAUCGAACGUCGGAUUUGAUGAAUAAGGUCAAGAUUCUGUUCAAUUUCAACAAUCUCGAAACGAGUUCUUGGAUUUCGGGAACUACCGCCGCCGCAUCCGCUGCCGACGAAGGGGAAAACGACCCGUCGUCGAUGUGGAUCAGUGAGCCAUCGAGUACAAUCGAGAUGAAGGAUUCAAUCACCACCACUGUUCCUUCCAGCAACGUUCCGGCAAAGCCAAUCCGUUCGGAAAAUCCCAGUACAAGUAGCUUAACGGAAAAUAUGAGCACGAUUCAACAAUCCCAUCAUAAACAGAGCCAAAGCUUCUUAAAUUUCUCCGAUUACGGCUUCGAAUCAAAUCCCACAAAGAACACCACCGCUACCGCCACCGCAACCACCAGCACCACCCCAUCAUUCAAGCCGGAAUCCGGCGGGAUGCUGAAUUUCGGCAACGGGAGCCUCUUCUCCGGCCAUUCACAGUACGUAACAAACGAACAGAACGAGAAAAAGAGAUCCCCUGCUUCUCGAAGUAGCAACGACGAAGGGAUCCUCUCUUUCACCUCCGGCGUGAUCUUACCCUCUUCCGGUAAGGUAAAAUCCGGUGAUUCAGACCAUUCAGAUCUCGAAGCAUCAGCGAUCAGAGAAGUGGAUAGCUGUACAAAAUCAUUAGAACCCGAAAAACGUCCAAGAAAAAGAGGUAGAAAACCAGCAAACGGAAGAGAAGAGCCAUUGAAUCACGUAGAAGCAGAGAGACAACGGCGAGAGAAAUUAAACCAGAAAUUCUACGCUCUCCGAGCUGUAGUUCCAAACGUAUCUAAGAUGGACAAAGCCUCACUACUAGGUGACGCGGUUUCGUACAUAAACGAGCUCAAAUCGAAGCUCCAAAUGGCAGAAUCGGAGAAAACAGAUAUGGGAAAACAUCUAGAAUUGCUGAAGAAGGAGAUGGGAGGAAAAGAUUUAGGAUGUUACUCAAACCCAAAUGAUGAAGAUCUGAAAACAGGGAAAAGAAAGGUAAUGGAUAUGGAGAUUGAAGUUAAAAUCAUGGGUUGGGAUGCGAUGAUAAGGAUUCAAAGCAACAAGAAGAAUCAUCCGGCGGCGAGGUUGAUGACGGCGUUUAAGGAUUUGGAUUUAGAAAUGCUUCACGCGAGUGUUUCUGUAGUGAAUGAUUUGAUGAUUCAACAAGCAACAGUGAAGAUGGGGAGCAGAUUUUACACACAAGAGCAGCUUAAAAUGGCUCUUGUCGCCCGAGUCGGCGGUGGUGGAAGUGGAGGCGGCGGUGGAAUCAUGUAAAUGGGGUUAGGGGACAUUUUUGAAGCUCCCAAUUAGUAGAGUUUAGUUGAGGGAAUCUGAUUUAGUAUUGUGUAAUAUAAAUGUUGGUAAAUUAUUUUUGAUAAUUCUCUUGUUGUUCAUCUUUUGUUGUUAGAGUAAUUUGGGAGUUCUUCUAUAUGUAGUUUUUGUUUAUUAAAUAUGAAAUCUAAUAGAAGUAAAGAUCAAAGACCUUCAAACUUUGUGUUUGAUCAUUUCAAUUCUCCUUCUUUCCUUUUUUUUUUUUUUUUUGUUUUUGUUUUUGUUUUUAGGGUUUUGUUUGAACUAGUAGGUCUAGUUUAGGGAAAAUCUAGGUUUGAUCGGAAAUUAAGGACUAACCUUAACCUUUCUUGGUACAAACUUUAGUUAAACCUACAUGUCAAUAGACUUAAAAGAUUUAGUAUUAAGGUCCAAACUUUCCCACGGUUGAGAUCGAAAGCCCCUGAUAUAAGAACAACUCAUAAAAUUUGACAUUUGAUUAGGUUAUUAAGUGGAUUUCAAUGGGGAUCGAGACCUACUCUCUUAGGUCAACAUUUUUCAUAAAUACAUAAGUUGGUUAGUCUAGAUUUGUAAAUUUUAAUUGGGUUUAGUUGUUUAUGUAUGGAGAUAGGUAAUUGAACUUCUCAUAUUGAGUUAUAUACUCCUACAAGUAAAGGGAGAAACUCCCAAUAGAUAUUGGUUGUGUUGGAAAGGUUAUGAAUCGAUUAAUAAGUCAAUUACCAUUAUCUUGAUUUUGAACGCCAAUGCAUCACAUGCAUAUAUAUAUAUAUAUAUUGUCGGCUAGUACACGACCAAUUAAUGUUUGGAUAAAGUUCUUUCCAGAAUCAUCCUAUUUUCAAGACUCACUAAAAUCCUUCAGAUAUAUGGUUCCACAAUUGGUCCUAUGUACAACAGUGUAUUGAACUACUUCAACACGAUGUUCGUACAACAAUACCCACAACUCAUUUUUGCACUCCAUAGCAAAAAAUAAUAUAUUAUGUUAAGGACAACCCCUUAGGUAAAUUGCUUUGAAUGAGUUAAUCAAUCAUUUAUCCUUGUGGAUCUAACAUUAAUCCUCUCAUACCUACUAAUUGGUAUGCUUGAGAUGCAUUUUCUCGAGCACCUAUAGAAGACGUUAUAUAUAGACUGGAUUAAAAGGGACACUCAUCCUAAAAUUAGGAUUCAUUUCUUGUAGCAAAUAUUCACUUGUAGCAUACGAUAUCUAAAGGGACUGGCGUAAGUUUUCUACUGCGGGUACGUUUCCAUAAUGAUGGUGUCUUUUCAAUAUCAAACUUUACUGUUCACCAUCUUGAACUAGCCAUCCUUUAGAGAGUAUUGUUAAAAGAUAUCAAUUCCUAAUGAAAUGGAUGUCGCAGUGGCCCACUAAAAGUCUUUAAUUGAUAUUACAAUCUUUAUGCUAGUUGAGCUAUGCUCGAUUUAUCAUUUUGUAUACAAUAAGCUCUAACAAGUUAGUUAGGUUCCAUCCUUUAUAUAUAGUUUGUACACAUUAUUAUUUUUAGAUGCAUGCCACAUGCCUAAACCUUCAAAUGAUUGGUUACUAUAUUGGAGAGUUUAAGCUACCUCUCAUACAUAGAAAUGUUAAGUAGAUUCAAUGAAGUUUAGAAAUUUUAAUUUUGAAAAUUUGAAAUUCCUUGUUAAAUUCUAAUAACAAAAACAUGUUUUUGGAAACUACAUUUUGUUCUAUUUUAUUUUUUAAAUUGUUUAGAUAUUUAGGUAGAAAAUGGUUGAUAAAACACGAAAACUUAUAAAUGAAAGUAGUGUUUAUAAGAUUACUUAAAAAACCAAACAAUCAUCUAGAAAGUGUAUAACAAAAUAAAGACUAUUAGAAAGUAAACGUAGUUACUUAAAUUUAAAAAAAAAGCUUAAUAAUUAUCAAACGAAACUUAAAUUUAUAACAACCUAAUUUAAUUUGAUGUGUGGUUAAUAAUUGGGACCCAAAAAGAUAAGCUUCUAGAGGCAUGGAUGAUAGUGAAGAAUUGAAGAUGACCUUACACUUCAUAUAUGGACAUAAAAGGACCAUUUUCAUAGAAUCUUCAAGAAGAUAUUGAUGGAGAUUAUUUUCUCUUUUGGUUGAAGUUCAAUGGUAAAAAGAAUAAAAAUAAGUAAAUAACUUUUUAUUAUUCGAGAAUAUCAAGAUCGUUUAAAUAACAUUUUGACAUGCUCUUAACGAUCAUUUUUCAGUGUCAACACGAUCAUUUAAAUUUAAAGUUUUUUCCAUAGUUUAAAACUAACCUACACGAUCGUGUUUGCAUUAUCUAAACUUGCUUACCUUAGUUAACAUGAUCGUUUAGCAUGGUCAACACGAUCGUUUAAUUUGAAGUUUUUAAUGAUAAUUUAUAUUGGACUAUACGAUCACUUAUCAUGAUCAACAUAAUAAUUUAAAUUUAAAAGCAUUUUGUCCCAUCCUUUAAAAAGAACCAGACGAUCGACCUAAAUGAUAGUAGAUCAUUCGUUUAGACUGUAGUACACGAUCAUUUAGAAGAAAAUUAUCCUUGAUCGCAUGUGGCUAGAUUAAUUCCAUGUUAACUUUUUUUUGUUUAUACGAGGACAUUUUGAACUUUAAUUAGUUUAAUUAGUUUAUUGGUCUAUAGACUAUGUAAGAAAUUUUGGGUAAAUGCUAUUUUUCACAAUAAAAACUAAGUUGUUUGGAAUCUAAACUUUUAGAAAAUUAAAAUUACAUAAAUUAACUCAUAACAAACUAAAAUGGAGAGGCUACAAAGUGUUUUUCCUUGAACAUGUUUUUGGUUGCACCAUCAUAAGGUGAAAUUAUGAAAUCAAUACUCAAUUAUUGGUUUUGUUACAUAUUUAGAUGAAAAUGAUGAUCAAACAAAGAAGAAGAAAAAGUAAUUAAUGAAAGAAAUAAAGGGGAGAUUAAAAGGGAAAUGAAAGAAUGAAUAGAAAUGGUUAGAAAUAGGAUUAGAAUUAAUAAUCCUUAUCCCAAUAAAAGAAAGAAACCCUAAAAUUAGAGAGUGGUAGUUAACCAAAAAAUCCGUACAACCAAAAAACGAAAAAUCCCCAAAUUUAAAACCCUAAAAAUUUCAUUUCAUGAAAUCAAUCCCCACAAAAUCUUUAAUCUCUCUCUCUCUCUCUCUCUCUCUUUCUCCCGUGUCUUCUUCAACCAUCAAUCAUGAGUUUGAAUUGCCUCUCCUGUCAAAUCUUACAGAGAACGGAUUCCGAGAGACACCGUGACCGGCAGGUCCAAACUUACUAUACCUCCGAUGAGUUCAAUUCCUCGGAGAGAAGCUGGUCGGGGAACCUCUGUCUCCGUCCAAACAGAGGAGGAGGAGGAGGAGGAGGAGGAGGAGGAGGAGGAAGAGGGUUUCGGGGCAUGGCGGACAACAAGGUGGCUCCGAUCGGUCACCGCCGUGCCGUAUCGUUCGGGGGGAAGGAGCCGAGAUUGAUUAGAAGCUCAGGGAUGAGGAGGGAUUGGAGCUUUGAGGAUCUCAGAGCUAUUCGUGAGGAAAAGCAACCUUCUCCCAAUUCCUAACUUUCAAUUAACCUUUUCUUUUAUUUCUUCUUUUCAUUUUAUUUAAUCUUUAUUUGAACAUGAAUAUAUAUAUUAAUAUAUAUUAAUAUAUAUAUACGUAUAUAUAUAUAUAUACAUAUAUAUACAUAUAAAUAUUUAUAAAGUAUAUAGUAGAAAUGGGGAUUCUUUUCAAUCUUUGAAAAUAUGUUGUUUCUUUUUAUCAUUUGAAUUUGAUCAUACCACUUUUUCUUAAUUUGAAUUUCUUUUCAUGUAUUAUUAUUAACCAUUCAUUUAUAAAAAUUCACUACAUUAUAACUUUUUUCUUUCUUCUUUUAAUACUUUCAUUUUUCAUUUUAUAACAAAACCAUAAUAGAUUGUAAUAUAAGGUGUUGAAUAUAAGAACAAAAAAGGAAGGAAUGAAUGAUUAGACUAUGGAAAAAUAAGGAAGAAAAAGAGAAAUGGAUGAAAAUCUUUUUUCUUCUUACCAUUAUUAUUAAGAAUUUUUUAUUACAUCAAUUAAUUGUCAAAUGAUAGACCUUUUCUCUUGUUAAUUGAUAAAAUUAUUAAGUUGUAAAUUGGCAUGGCUACAUUUUUUCAUAUAGUUAUAUAAAUAUUACAUUUAAAUUUGAAAAGUUUUAUCAUUUAAUUAUCCAUUUUGUGUAUAUAGAAAAUCAAAUGCAAAGUGUCAUACCGGGUCGUUUUGUCGGGGGUCAAUUUAACACUUAAAAGUAUAUUUUGAAAAUUCUUGAUUUGAAAUUUCCAAAACUAACCUACUUCAGUUUGGUCGAUUGAUUCGUUUUUUAGUCUAUCAUGCUCACCCCUAUGAAAGAAGCAUCAUUCAAGUAUGGUUUGCUUUUUUUAUAUUAAAAAGAUGAACAAGUAGAUGGAAACUAACCUAACUAUAAGACACCAAUCUAAUACUCUUUCAUAAACUUUUACAAUUUAAAUGGUAAAAUUGUGAAAUUGAAGGGUCAAAAGUGAAAUAUUUUUGCAAUGAAGUCUAUAAAUUAAUUUACUUUUGAAACGAACUAUUAAUUUAUAUAUAUAUACGUAUCAUUUUAAAAGUCAUAAUUUUUUUUAAAGUAAAAAGUGAAUGUGGAAAGAAAAAAAGGGAGAAAGGCAAAAGAUAUUAAAGGACAAAGGCAUAAAAUACUUGGAAAUGUUGCACAAGUAAACAUAUGGCUAACAUAGUAAAAUUUUAUAUCAUUCAAAAAGUUGAACCAACCUAAAUGUAGCCAAGCAUGAAAUCAACCAACCCUUUUCAAAAGUAAAUUUGUCUUAGCUUAAUUCUACUCUCGUCUCUUUUGCUUUUGUAGUUUCUGACCUUUCUCUACCAAUUUUAUCAUUUAGGUUGAUCUUGAUCUGAAUGAGCACACAUGCCCUUGUUCACCACUUAGUCGAUCAAUCUACGAUGGUUAGAGUAAAGCAAAGAAUAUGGUUAAUUCUUCUUUAGAGCCAUCUGAUUCUAUUACGACUAUGUAUGACAUAUAAUUCAAUUGAAUAAUUAAUAAAUACUUUAGAGAGAUCGGAAGGACAAUUUUUGCAAGAAUAGUUGUAUGCUUACAUUUUGUUCAACUUGUCUUGUUCUUUCAACAUGGACCGUGUCAUUGUUUGCAAUUAUGUACCAAAUGAUUCGUUGUACCAUUUAAGAGAUUUUAUUAUUGAGUGGUUGGCAAAUACGACAACAUAAGCGUAGUCUCACAUGUGUACCAUUCUUAAAUAAUGCAUUGAGUUGUUUGUAUCAAGUUGAUAUCAAGAUCCCUUAACACACUCGGCUCAACCCCUGAUUUUGAAGACAUUGAGAUCACAAUUUCUGUUUGUGCAACCUAACGCUAAUUUCACUUAAGUAUGUCUUGAGAUUCAUCUAAACUAUACUAAUGAAUAGGAGAAUCCAGUAGUAUCAUCAAUAUAUCAACUUACUCCUUUUACUUAAUCAACUAUUAAUUUAACUUUUCACAUUGACUCAAUUAUUUUACGUAUUUUUAUCUCAUCAUUUGAUGCAUCAAUUUUUCUUUCUAUAUUUUUAUCCGAGAUGGACCGAGAGAUGUAAUCGAGGAUGGAUUGAGAAAUUUUUCUGAACGAAUUUUUGAAAAUGAUGGAAGAUCUAUAAGACAAAAACUCAACAAUGUUAUUCUAGGGAAUUUUUGAACAAAAAUUGUAGAUAUAAUAAAACUUAUAUAAACCUUAGGAAGUUAGGGGUAGAAGACUAUAUAUAUAGUAUAGAUUUUAAUCACAAAAGUGUAUAUAUGGAGUUUGUGAUAAUUUGAGUGGGCUUUUGGUUCUGAAAAGCCCAAAAUACAUAAAGUUUGGGCUUAUAUCUCUUUCUUUCCAUCUCUCAUUGAUUUGUAGAAGAAAUUUGUCACCAACGCAUUCACGAACUGAAGAAUCAUUCCCAUUUCUUAAUUUUUUUUCUUCAAUUUUCCCGUUGACUUACAAAAAUCAAAUUUUGGUUUCGGUUUUGAUUUGGGAUUUUCCAUUUUUCUUCUCUUUCGCCUUCUUUCGAUCUGAUUAUUAGUUUUUCUUUUUUUCUUCACAUCUUUGAUCCUCUCCUUCCCUUAGGGUUUGGAUUGGACUUUUCUUUGUCGUCUCAGAUCCUCAAUUUCACCGCGUAAUUUCUUUCCACUUCUCUCAGUUCCCACCAUUUUAGUCUCCAUUUUUCUUUUCCACCUUUUUUCUUCGCGUUUACUGCUUCUUUCUUCUCCUGCUCAUAGUGUUUACGACGUCAGAAAUCUUUGUUCUCUUGGAGGAAAGCCUAUAUAUUUCCUGUUUUUUUGUUCAGACCAUUUCUGGGUUCUCUUUUAUUUCUCAGAAUGGCCACACCGUUGAUGGCUUCUGGGAUUUUUAAACUGCGGAGGAUCAAGUGAAGGGUAUGCUUUUGUUUCUAUUCUUUUUUAUUCUUCAGCUUUGUUGGUUGAAUUUCUCUUUCCGUUGAUUGGAUUUGUUGUUACUGUUUUGGGAUUCGCCUGAAUUUUGGUUUCUGUGGAUUUUUUCUGUUGAAGGAUUGUGAAUGUUCUGAAUUGGUGGGACUUUAGGAGAAGUGGGAUUUGAUUUGGUUUGGUUUUAUUAGAUUGCUGUUUUUUCUAGACUGCUUUAGUUAUUCAUUGUGGAGAUGGAUAGGAACAGGCAGAAUGAGAAUUUGGGUGUAAACAAAUUGGGGAAAAACAUUAGGAAGAGUCCAAUACACCAACCAAAUUUUGGUAAUAAUAAUGCUGCUAGGCCUCAACCCCAGCCACAAAUUUACAACAUAAGUAAGAAUGAUUUUAGGAAUAUUGUUCAGCAGCUUACAGGUUCACCAUCUCAAGAUAAUCAACCUCCUCCUAGACCUCCACAAAAUCCACCAAAAUCCCAAAGCAUGCGGUUGCAGAGAAUAAGACCUCCUCCGUUAACACCGAUUAAUCGACCGAAUAUACCUGCUCCUAUCCCUGCCCCUGUUCCCGUUCCUCCACCACAAGCUCUAGUCAAUAACAAUGUGCCUAGGCCUCCACAAUUUGCUCAGCCACCUCCAAGACAGUUGCCACCAGUGGCAAUGGGAGGCGACUCGCAUUGGCCGAACCCUGCUGCUGAGUCUCCUAUUUCGGCGUAUAUGCGUUACCUUCAAAAUUCAAUGAUGAAUCCAUCUCCAGUAGGAAAUCAAGCUCAAUUUAUACCACAAUCUCAGGUUCCUGGUCAAAUGCAUCCUCCUCAUGCACCUCCACCGGGUUUAUUGCCUAAUCCUAAUCCUAAUCCACCCGUUCCUGCUCUUCCAUCCCCAAGGCUUAAUGGUCCUCCACCCCCUAUCCCAAACUUCCCUUCACCACACUGGAACGGUCCCGCCCUUUUACCUUCCCCGACUUCCCAGUUUCUAUUGCCUUCUCCUACUGGUUACUACAAUUUGUUGUCUCCCAAAUCACCGUAUCCGUUACUCUCACCGGGGAUCCAGUUUACUCCGCCGCUGACUCCUAAUUUCGCAUUUCCAUCCAUGCCUCAAUCAGGGAUCUUAGGUCCAGGGCCUCAUCCGCCACCUUCACCAGGGGUUCUGUUCCCUUUAUCUCCCUCGGGGAUUUUUCCCAUCUUGAGUCCAAGAUGGAGAGAUCAAUAACCCUUCCUCGGAGUGUUUUCGUGCUGAAGAUCUCCAUGCCUGCUGACAUUUUCAUCUACUUGUGAAGAUGGUUGCCAAACUCAUGUUGAAAGCUAGCUGGCUGCCCUUUUCGUGUUUUAUAUCUCUCAAUUAGUUUGAUUUUUCCUUUUAACACUUUAAAUUGUAAAAUCUUUUUGCUUCUCAUUUUCGCUCUGGAAAAAGUCUAAUCCUGUAACCUGUAGUCUUGUAUAAUGCUUUUCCCUCUCCUUUGUAGGACAAGUUCCUAUUAGGCAAUAUAGUGAAAGAUCAAGUUAUCAAAAUUGUAUUACUAUAUGUAACAGGAAGAACAGAGCUGUAACCUUAGACAUAGGGAUCAUAGAUGUCAAGUUGAUAGCUUUGUCGGUUGGUUGGUCGGUCGGUCGGUCGGUUUAGUUGAAUAAUAGUCCAAUUCUGUAAGAUGAUGGAAUGAAUAUUGUUUGAUAUCUAAGUUCUUUUAGCUGGUUUAUAGAAGGAAAUGUUGAAGAAGUGAAUUUUUUUUAUGUCUUUUAAUUGUUCUUGUCUAUUAUUUCAUUAAAGUGGCUGCCAUAUUACAUAUAUCUAUAUCUAUAUAUGCUUGAAAUUGUUAUUGUAUAGGAAGAAUCUAGCUUCAUAUAGAUGUAUUCAUGAUAUUGAGAUUUUUUUUGAGCAUAGCAUGAUAAUGAGAUUGGUUCUUACUACUACUACUGCUAAUAGUUGGACGCUAUUGUUUACUUUUAAAACAUGUAGGCUAUGAAGAAAGAACCUCAGUACAUGGCCAUGUCCACUUUUUUAUUAUUCAAUUUUGUCUAUUAUUUAAGGACUACUUAAGACUAUAAUAAUCUUUCCUGGUUACAGUAAAUACUAUUUUUAGUCUCCAAUCCAUCACCGAUUUGCUACAAUUUUUACUAUUUUACCUUUGUUAUUUCUUUUAUUACUUGCUAUAGUGUUUCACUAUUUCCUUUUCAAAUCAAAAUAGUUUACACCUCAAACAUAUGUCAUUGUAACUUGAACUAAAACAAUCUACACUUCAUAUACAAACUCAUAUGACUCAAUUAUAAUAAUCUAGGACUAUGAUAACCAACUCUUUGUUCUAAGUGCAUCCUUAUAUUCUAAUAUUUUUCAUUUGUGUUCUUAUUAUAUAACAAAAGCUUUAAUAACACAUGUUUGUACCUGUGGACAAGAGGUUUCCGUAUUUCAUUAGAAUGUUUAAAUUUUGUGUUAAUUUUUGAGAAUUUGAAAGUCAAAAAAAGUGAUCACAUUUCAUAAUAAAUACAAAUUUCCUUUUCAGAUAUAGUUGAAAUAAAAAGAAGUAUAAAUCUUCUUCUUCUUUUUUUUCACUUGAAAAUGUAUUCAAUUAUACAUUAAAGUUUUAUGGUUAGAUAAUAUAUAAGAUGAUAAACAUAUAUUUGGAUGUAAUCCAAAGUGGUAGGUUAGGAGUUGGAGUUGGAGUUGGAGUUUCCUACACCUAUUCUAUUCUCCAUUGAUAUAAUUGAAAUAAAGAGGCAAGUUGGCAAGUUGGAAAUGGUAGCACUCUAUAACUGGACCCUCACCAAUUUCUAUUUGCAAUCAAAUUAUGCAAUUUCAUUCAACCUAUUCAUCAAAGCAAGAAGAAACGCCAUCAACAAUGGCAGAACACACUUCUUCUUUUUCCUGUGCCUUUUUCUUACUUGAGACCAUAAUUCAAAGUUACAUCACUUUCACACCUAUCAUCAUCACCAUCACCACCAUUCCCCUAAUUCUCUUCAAGUUUGAAAUUGUAUGGACAUAUAUUUGAAAUUUAGACCUUUCAAGGUAGACAAUUGAUGUCGUAAUUGUUAGCAAAUUUGUGUACAAAGUGAGAAUUUUGAACAUUCAAACGGUAUAUUUUUAACCGUUGAGCCAUCAUAGUGUGUAAAAAUAUGUUUGUUAUUAACGAGAGUUUUGGAUUGGUAGGUGAAACUAUGACAAUGGGUAACUUAGAUGAGUAGGUGAGUACAGAUUAACUUUUUUUCUUCUAGAAAAUAUAUGUGAGUGAGGAUGAACCAUAUACUAAAAGAAUUUGUGUGGGUAACUUUUAGUCUUAGAAGUAGUUCAAGGAACAGGCAAACGUCGUAAGGUUACAGGUUAGAGUGAAAUGUGAGUGCCAAAUAUCUAUAAAUGAUGGUGUGAAUCUUGGAGUUGAGACGUUAUAUUAAACAAAAUCAAAAUGAAUGGACGAAAUUAAUAAGAAUAUAGGGAGGUUGAAAGUGAUGAUGAAGAUUUGACCUUAUUCACAUUAUUUUGGACCACAUUCACAUCUUUCAUCUUUAUUUCUCCAAUUAACAUCCAAUCUCUCAACUUGCAAAAACCUUUGAAGAAUAAUCCCUUAUGCCCCACAUGCAUUAACAUACCCUUCCUUUUUCCAUAAUCACAACUUUCUCUUACAACAUUCCCUAAUCAUCACUACUUUACAAGUGAUUUGAGACAUGAAAAAAGAAAAAGAAAAAAAAAGAGAAGAAGAGAAGUGGGUUUUUAAAUUUUAAUGACCUUCAAAUUGCAACCUCUAACAUUAGAUAUAAAGAUUUCAAUUCUAUACCUCUAUCCAUAAAACGUUCAUUGUCGACAAUAUUUUUAAUAAAAAUUAUUAUUUUUUUAAAUUUUUAUAUUAACCGUUACAAAAUGAAAA